rnacentral:lncRNA from 1 species
GCAGUAGAAAAGGCUUAAAUCCCUUAGAUUGGUUAGUGAAGUCAACCAUUUGGGAAAAAUGUUGCCUCCGUAGAAUAUAAUCCUUAACUCCUCUACAUUCAAAGGCGGUUGUAAGGCUUCAAGAAGUUGUUUAUCUUUCUCGUUCUUCCUCCUCCCUUCUUCGCCCUCCCCAUCUACGACUCCACCAAACUCAAGAUGCAAACGAAGGAGGUUUUUCUUAUUGUAAAGUUGUAACCUCUCAGCCUCAUCUACAUGCGAUACAUUACUCAGCCCUUCUACUCUACAUUCACGAAGGAGUUGAAGAUUUUUCAGAGAUUCAAGCCUACACGUAUUGCUACCAUCAACACCUCCACCCACCACAAACUUUUCUAAUGUUCGAAGGCUAGUCAAUUUGGAAAUCCCUAUUGGCAGGUACUUCAACGAACGAGUUUUAUCAUUCAGUAAACUCCUCAUGUUCAUUAACUUCCCAAUCCCUGCAGGCAAUUCUCUAAGAUAUUCGCACUGCCUAAUAUCUAGCUUUUGUAAAUUAUAUAAUUGACACAAAGUCUCAGGUAGUCUCUCUAACCUUAAUCCAGACAAAUUAAGAUAUUUUAAAUGUAUCAAUUUUCUAACUUUUUCUGGAAUUUCUAUAAUCAAAUUUGCCUCAGGAUGAAAACCUAAAAUGUGAUAUUGCCUCAUAACUAAUGCCCUCAAACACGCCAAUUUACUAAAUAACUCCGAAAGGAUGCUACUACUAAGAGGCCGACUGUAAGGACUUUCAUCAUAAAUUAAUAAGGUACGCAAUCUAUUAAGUCCAUGAAUGGACAUAGGAAAUGAAGUGCCUCUUUGAAAAUUUAACCCUAAGUGACGGACUUUGUCACCAAAAGAGUUUAUGACUGAUUCUUUGGUACCAUUAAUUUCUACCCACAAACAUUCUUUUCUACUUACAAAUUGGGCAAAAUCAUGUACUAUGUCAUGCAUCUUACACCCCAGAAUAUCAUCAUUGUCAUCAUCUUUUUCAAACUCUUGAAAGAAAGAGCGUGUUGCUAAGAUGUUGAAAUAUUCUUCUCCGAUCAUCUCCAUUUCUUCGUCUUCAUCUGCAUUAAGGUAACCUUGAGCCAUCCAUAGAUUAAUCAAUUCCCUUUUAUUCAUAUUGUAGUCUUUUGGAAAGACAGCACAAUAUGAGAAACACCGUUUUACCAUAGAAUUGGAGGGCAAAUCGUUAUAACUCAACAACAAAGGAGCCAAAAUACCUUGCCCAAUCUCUUCUACUUUCCACAUUUCACUCUCUAAAAUUCUUUGCCACUCUUUUAUUGUACUUUUAGAGCGCAAGAGAUUCCCUAUUACCUUUGCAGCAAGAGGUAGGCCUUUGCACUUACAUGCAAUUUUUCGCCCGAUUGGUUCUAAUUUUUCACAAUCCUCAAAGGACCUACGUAGAAAUGCUAUCUGCUUAAACAGUAACCAACAUUCCCCUUCACCCAACUCCUUGACAGGGAUAAUAUCUAUUGAUCCCAACUGCAGUGCAACUGACCUAUCACGUGUGGUAAUUAGAAUUUUACUUUCAUGGUGGCCAUUCUUUAGACAAGAAAAGAAUGGGUCCCAUUUUUUGUAAUCUCCAUCCCACACAUCAUCUAAAACAAGAAAAAAUUUCUUCCCCGUAAUAUAUUCCUGAAUCUGUUUCAUAAGAGAUUCGAAUUCGCUUAAACCAGAAGCUGACGCGCCUAGACUUUCAAUGAUUGCUUUGGCGACCCUAAUCUCCUCAAAAGUGUCUGAUACACACACCCAUAUAACUUUUUCAAAAUUUCUUUUCACCUCAUCAUUAUUAUAGGCCAGUUGUGCAAGAGUGGUUUUACCUAUACCCCCUAACCCAACUAGUGAGAUGACAUGAAGGCCUUUUUGUUGUUCACUACUUUCACACAACAACUUGCUUAAGAGCUCAUUUUUCUCAUCAACUCUACCGCAAACCUCUCCCUCAUCAAUCAAGGAGGUGGUUCGCACUCGCUCUGGUUUCUUAACAUUGCUGCUCACAUUCUCAACAAAUUUAAACGUAUCUUUUUGGGAGGCAAUAUCAUCUAGCUUUCCAUUGAUUUCCCUGAUCUUGACGGCAAUGUCAUGACGAAGACUAAGUUGUUUGAAACUACCAAAGCAGUUUGAUACAGCACAAAAGAAGGAGCGUACCUUCUUAUGAGGAGCAAGAGCAAAAGCAUUGUCAUCAUCAACGCCCUCAAUCUGCAAUUUGAGCCUUGCAGUGGUCCACUCCUCCAACACGUCUUCCAUGUCGUAAGAUGCGUCUUUGAGUUGAUCCAGCCAAAAAGUAACAGCAUUGUCGCGCUGCAUUUGCCUUUUCUCUGCAUCUUCCAGCACAGCUCGAAUGGCUCGAAGAUUGCUGGUAAGCUUUUUCACUUCUUCUCCGACACCAGUCACAAGCCUCACCUGUUGUUUCACUUCAUCAGCCGCAACGGAGAUCAGCUGCUCCAGGAGAGAGGAAACGAUCGCAUCAACCAUUCUGACAAAGAAAACGAGAAUUCUGAUGAGUUAUUAGAUGUGCUUUUGUUGCGAAGAUAUGAAAGAAAGGAGUUAUUGCAUUCUUUUAUACUGCAUAGAAAAGGUUUAUGCUUAUCCCCAACCCACACGUCAAUGAUUGUAGAAUGUUUAAUUUCCCUGAUUCUACUCCACUAGUUGUAAUAUUCUCAAGUUAUGUAUGAAAAUAGCACAAAUUUGGACCUACUGAUGAUUUUUAUGUAUUUUUUCAUAAUCUUCUAAAAUACUGUAUCUGCAUGUUAUUUCGUGCAGAAAUAUGGCAUUGGGUGAAAAAAGUUAUGCUUAUCCCCACCCACACGUUAGUAAUUGCAGUAGCAUCUUUAAUUUCCCUGAUUCUACUCCACGGACGAACACAUUUUUUGUACUAAUAUCUUUAAAUUCCCACACGUUAGGAAUUUGGCACAUAAUCUCAAACUCGUCCCAUCUUUAACGUAUGAGGUUGAUGAAUGAAUUCUUUUCUCAUGUGAAUUUAAAACUCCGAGAUUAUGUGCCAAAUUCCUAACGUGUGGGAAUUUUACCUCCUAAGUAAUCCGGCCCACUGCCAAGUGCCAACUUUUUCUCUGUCGAGUUAAUGAUGUUGUUUUGUUUUCCUUGUUUUAAUUAAUGUUGCGGUGAGAAAAAGAUCGAUGUAAAUGGCUAGCCAGGUUUUGCAGAAACCAUGAAUGGUCUUGCAUGCAUGGGUGGCUUUAAGUAUAGGCCAAAAAGAUGGUCGUCUAAGGCCCCAAAUUUUAAAAAAGCUACAAUUUUUUAAUAUUAAUAAUAAUUCUCUUAUUAAUAAAAUCUUUUAAAAAAAUUAUAUGUGUGGUAGAAAAGCCUAUUAGACAUAUCUCUAAUUAAUAAUUAUCCUAUAAUUAAUAUUUUUUUUAUAUAAAAACCUAUAAUUGGUUAUCUUAUUGUUAAAGAGAUAUAAUUAAUAAUAUUGUUUAACCAUUAAUUUAUUCAUUAUUAGUUUUUCUAAUAAAAAUAAGUAAAUUUUUUUAUCUUUUCAACUUCUUAAAAAAAAACUUAAUUAUUCAACAUUAGAAUAUUUGGCUUUGAGUAUUUCUUUUAAUUUCUACUAAAAAUCUUAUAAUCUAAAAAAUUAUAGAUGAAAAAUUUCUUAUUAUCUUCUCUACGAUGAAGAUUAUUACAUGCAUUAGUUCAUUCAAAAAAGAAAAAUAAAAAAUUAGUUACUUGAAAUACAAAGUCCAUAUCCAUUAUCUAAAAUCAGUUCAUAAUCUCAACUUUUUAUGUGCUACCAUUCUAAAUAUUCUAUUUGAAAAUAGUAUUGUUCUCAUUUAUUCGUUUGCUUCUUUUUGUAAAAUUUCUAAUGAUAAAUUUUAGAUUUUGUUUUCAAAAAUUUUUAGAAUCUUCUUGAUUAUUUGUUGAAAUUCAAGAAUAAAAACUGAAAUGGAUUUUCAGUUCUUUAUUGUUUUAUUGAAUAUUGAAAUUACUAAAUAAAAAGAGGUCUCAUAAAAAAAAAAAAAAAAAAAAGUUCGUCUAAGGCCCCUAAUACUAUAAGCCGGCCCUGCUUGCAUGUGACAUAAAGCUUUAUAGCUUAUUCCUCCAUCAACAUUUCAAUGGUUCCAUCUCACGUGCACUUGGCUAUGAAUAAGGUCCAUGCAUGGAUCGAUCGAUUUAGGAGUUUUGGACCAUCUCAUGCUGCAGAGUUAUGUGUCAUGUAUGUGUGUUGACACUUGCCAGUUCAUUUUUGUUAUAAAGAUUAUUGAUACUCAUAAAUGCACUACUUACAAAUCAUAAAUUUUGAGUUUGACACUUUAGUUUCAUUUUGUAAUCCCUACGCUCUUUAAAUAUUUGUAACAAUAUAUUUCAAACUUUAACUCAGACGUAAUGAAUGAAGGGGGAUCCUCUUCUUAUAUAAAUUUUUAUUUUUUAACGUUCAAGUUACAUUUGAUUACGUGUACUUAUUAUCUAGUUUUGACUAUCUAAUUACAUUUGAUUACGUGUACUUAUUAUAUAAAUUUUUUUAAAAAUGAUGGGUUUGGUGAGAUUUUUUACAUCUUGGAUCAGUAGGUCAAGAACAGGCAGGGCAGGGCCUUCUCUGAAGUCAAUCUUGUGAGCAACACCAGCUUUUUGGAUAAUUGGCAGCCCCAAUUCAUAAUUUUCUCUAUUGAUGUCCAUGGCCAAAAUCUGCAACCGAAGCUUAUUCUACUCUUAUUAAUCGAGAGAUAAUUUUACCUCUAAUUAAUUUAAUUGGGAGGAAAAUCGAGAGAGAUAUCCACUCUGUCCUUAUUAAUUGAGAGAUAAUUUUACCCUUACCCAAUUUAAUUGGAAAGGAAAUCGAAUUCCAACAAUAACUAGGACUUGAAUCCAUGCACUUAAGCUAACUUUAAGUUUUUGGACGCAUGGUUAUAAUGUUCUUUAUUUAAAUCCUAACAAAUGGUGGGACUUGAACUUGUGCCUACAAACAUUGAGUGCUUAGGGGCUGCAAAAUUUCAUAACUUAAUUUUAGUUGAUGUGGCAUAUGCCCUAUCACAUAAAUGUAGGUAAUAAUAAUUAAUACAUUAACAAAAUGAAAAAUAUUAGUUUACAAAACACAAAUCCAAAAUUUUUGUGUGACAGGGGAUUUAAAAGGGAGAGACUAAAUAAAUGUGGUGAAAAACGACAUGUAUUACUAAAAUUGAAAAUACGAAGUCUAGGCAAUUGAAAACAUCGGGUUUUUUAUUUAAAUAUCCCCAAUUUGUCCUUAAAUACCAAAUUUAUACUCUAUUAUAUACAUAUACCUUACGAAGAUAGGGAAGGUAAAAAAUAACCUUAAAAAAAUCAAGAAUCCACACAUUUCUUCCUCUCAGUGCAGGAAGAUGUCGAGUACGAAGUCGGGUAAGUCGAGAAUUUAGUUGAGCAAGAAUUGGAGAUAAGUAAGUCGAGUAUAUAAUCCAGUAGGAAAUUGAGUAAGCAUAUUAAAUGAGUCGAGUAUUAAGUGGUCGAGUAUUAAAUAAAAGUCAAGUGAAUUUUUUGAACAAGUCGAGUAAAAUUUAUGUAAUUUUUAAAAAGGUCAAGUAUUAAGUCGGGCAAGUACAUUGGGUCGAGUAUUAAUAUUUUUAAGGAAGUGAAGUCUAGUAAGUUGAGCAUUCAGUCGAGUGAGAAAUGAAGGCAAUUGAAUAAGUCGAGUAUCUAGUCGAGUACGAAGUCGGGUAUGAAGUAUGGUAAGUUGAGCAUUCAGUCGAGUGAGAAGUUAAGGCAAUUGAAUAAGUUGAGUAUCUAGUCGAGUACAAAGUCGGGUAUGAAGUUUGAUAAGUUGAGCAUUCAGUCGAGUGAGAAGUGAAGGCAAUUGAAUAAGUCGAGUAUCUAGUCGAGUACGAAGUCGGGUAUAAAGUAUGGUAAGUUGAGUAUUCAGUCGAGUGAGAAGUUAAGGCAAUUGAAUAAGUUGAGUAUCUAGUCGAGUACGAAGUCGGGUAUGAAGUUUGGUAAGUUGAGCAUUCAGUCGAAUAAGAAAUGAAGGUAAUUGAAUAAGUCGAGUAUCUAGUCGAGUACGAAGUCAAGUCUGAAGUCUGGUAAGUUAAGCAUUCAGUUGAGUAAGAAGUGAAAGCAAUUGAAUAAGUCUAGUAUCUAGUCGAGUAAGCAGAUUGAAUGAGUCGAGUAUUAAUUUUUUGUUGGCAUUUUGUUGAGGUUAUUUUUGUACUUUCUUCGGUUUUUUAAGUAUGUAUAUGUAAAGUUACAGAUUUUAAUAGAUUGAGAUAUAUUUUGGAUGGUACGAGAGAAACGGGGUAUAUCCCACGCAAUUCCUUCGAAAACAUAUCUGUCAAUUGCAAUGAAAAGAUCACAACCCUUCGUAAUUAAACAAAAUCAAACUUGAAAAAAAAAAAUCACACACACAAAACAAUCACAAAAACUAUUUGUUCUGAUCAUCCCUGCUUUUUUUUAGCGUAGCUCUUGGAAUGAAAAUUAACAAAAAGUGUCAAAAGAGAAGCAUUAAACACAGCAUUGAAGCACCAACCCAAAAUCCCAGAGCAACCAAAUCCCGUAAAAUGAUAAUACAGCAUCAAAACCGAAACAACAAAACUAAACACAAACUGAACAAUCUGACAAUCAGUGACCAAUCUCUUCCACUUUGGCCGCAACACCAUCACACACAAUAGAUAGUACCCGUACAUGAUCACAUGCACACUUGCAUUGGUCACAAGUGCAAUAGGAAACAAAGACUGCUUCGUCUGUAACCAAAGGUAGCACAUUACGACGACGGUUGCAUGGUGGUAGACGUGGAGGAACGUGAGCCGUUGGAUGGAGUUUGACAAAAUGAUCAAAAGGGUGUCUAGGAAUUCGAGUAUUUUGGAGAGGUAGAAGAUGUAAGCGUAGAAGAAGAGGGGACCGGAGGGAGAAAUGGUGGGGGGAAACAGAGGGUGUGACGGAGGUCGGGUGAAUGGAGGACGAUGGAGAGAGUGCAACCAACGGCCAUGACGAGGGAGAGGAGGAGGAGGGUAAGGUUAUGGACGGCUGUGAUGGGCUUGAGGAUGUGGGGUCCAAUGAGAGGUGAUGAUGAUGGUGAUGUUGGCGUUAAUUUGUGGUAGAGGAUGAAUGUGAGGGAGAGGAAAGUGAGGAUGGAGAGAAUGAGGAAGUGUGGGGAGGAAGCUGGGGUUUGGUUUUGAGUCCACGUGAAGUAGAGGAUUUGGGGAUGGUUUACAAGCCAAUAUUGGAGUGUUGAGGUGAUUGAAUUUGAAGCCAUGGCUGGUUUUUAGGGGGAGGAAAGAUUAGAAAGAGAUGAUGUUGAGAGGAGUGGGGGAGUUUAGAAAGUUUGGGAUAAUGUGAGGGGUAUUUUGGGCAUAUAAUGUUGUCUGAGCUUAAAUUUUUGUUAAAAAGAAAUAAUAAUAAUAAUAAUAAUAAUAAUAAUAAUAAUAAUAAAUUCUUUUCUCAUGUCAAUUUAAAACUCCGAGUGUGUUUCCAACAAUUGCUUUUCUUUUUCUAUUUUGGGAUUUUGAAUCAUUUUUUUUUCAAUUCAAUAAUGGCCUCUUCAAUUAUAAACUAUGGUCAAAGGGGAUGGGGUGUAGUGUCUAGGCCUCCGUGACAACGGCAUCUUUGAACGUGGGUUCCAUCAGUUUUUUUUUUUUUUUUUGACUAUUUCUGCUCAAAUCAAACUUGUGGAUUUCGUGCACUCAACGUGGAACCCUUUUGAAUGGACGCAAUGGUUUUGGUGGGAUCACACAAUCCGAAGAAGCAUGGAACUGCGACCAAUUUGUUGACAAAAAUUAGGCAUAAAAUUUACAAAUCGAAGUCAAGAGUAAGAUUUAAGUAAAAUUGAGUAACAUCUUGCACAUCGAGUAAGGAUUUCUACAAUCGGGCUAGAAAGUGCAACUAAAAUUUGGUAAGAGUUUCAUAGAGCAUAAUUUUUAAGAUACAACGUUAAGAGUAUUUAGUCGACAGUUAUAAUAUUACUUGAAUUGAUUUAAUUUCAUACUCUAAUAUAAAAAAUUUAAAACAUACUCUUAUAAUAUUACUUGAAUUGAUUUAAUCUCGUACUCUAAUAUAAAAAAAUUUAAAAUUUCUUUACUAAUUUUAUCGAAAGUAUUAUUUGACAAUCCUAUUUAUUACAUAAUAUCAACGUUUAUAUUAUAAUUACCGCUAAUACUAAAAGCUGAUCUCGUAAUUAAAAGUUAAACAAAAACUCGAGUACAAUCUAGUAAUUAAAAGCGCUAUGGUUUUUUGGCAUUACAAGAUGAUUCAAACUUGAACUUGCCAUCAAAAGUGUAUCAAAACAAUCACAGAGACUCUGUUUGACAAAUCUGCAGUAGAAUUUGCACAAUUUGACUGGGUUACAGAGAGUGAAUAAGAUUCCAAAGCAACAGGCCAUUAUUAUUAUUAAGAAAACAAUUCAUCGCUAGAACAAAAUUAACUUUUCUAACUUACUAGAAUUUAACUGGAGAAAAAUUGGAAUAUACGACGUUGUAUCACAUAUAGUAUUUAGACAUCAAGAAAAGAAUCCCUCUAUCAGUGAACUAUACUUGCCAGGAAACACGGUGAAAUACCACCACCUCCCUACUAGUUCUUAGAUGUCUCAAAAGAGUUUGAUGACGACUUCCGUGUUGUACCUCUUCGACAGGCAGCAAAAUUGGGCUAUUGACUAGGAUUAACUCCCAAGAAAUUUAUGCGGUCACCUUCUUCCGGACUAUCCUCUUUCUUCGCACUUUAGGAGCCCGUGCUUCCCCUUCAACAGAGCCGACAUUCCCUUGUUUGAUGCCAAGGAGCCCAAGCCCAGAGACAAUGGCAUUCUUUGAUAUCAACCACUUUGGGGACUUUUGAGUUGAGCCAUUGACAUCCUGAGCCGCCCCGUUGUAAGCCUUCUUCAAAAGGUCAUAUGAUUGAAGUAGCGGAUCCGCUUCCACUCCUAGCCAAGCAAGCCUUGAUCUUUCUCCUAAUUGGACAUUCAAAAAAUCCAUUUGAGAAGUUGAAGAAUAGUGUAAGUCCAACACAUAUAGGCAGUAAAGAAGAAUUUGGACGGCAAUUACUGAUUUUUUAUGCACAGGGCUGAACAAAUGGAGAUAUUAAGGCACUUAAAAGUUGGAACCGUAUUCACCACUUGUAUUUCCUUAGAGAACUAUCUCAGAGUUCAGUUAAUUUAAAACCAUUCUUAUGUAUUUAACUGUCAAACUAGAGAAAUUGUACUUCUGUAGCGAUGUCGCACUAUUGUUAAGGAUCUGGACUUGGAAAGGAUGCAAGUUGAUUAAGUCAAGAAAAAUUGAAAUAAUACUUGGUGAUAGAUCUGCACACUUCAAUAGAAACCACACUAACCUCUUAUCAGACAAAUAAACAGAUUCCCCAGUCAAAGUUUAACAAACAAAACAUUAAAACAAGGGUAAUUUGGUACGUCCAGAAUAGUCUAUCAAUGUAUAUAGAGGUGUAGAUCAAUAAACAAAUACGUAGAAGAGGGAGAGGGAGAGAUAACCUGGUAACAUCAAAAUGGUUGAAGACCGCUCUAUCAAAUCCACACAAUAGCUGAUAUCUCAUGUUUGCAUAUAGUCCAAGGAAAGCACCAAAACCAAGCUGAUCCCAUUCUUGCUUUAUCCCAUCCCGACAGAAACAAACAUUUAUUAGCUUAAUAUGUAAGAUGAAAAUAAAAAGGAAGGGAAGAGUUCCUUUGUUAUGAGAGAAAAAACACACCUCUCCUUAUGAUUCUCCAACUCCCACAAAACAGUGCAACCAAUUGUGGCAGCCUGCUCUAGUAGAAGUUUAUACAAAAAAGCAGGAUCUGCGAGCAUCCUGUGGCAACAGCAGUCAAUACAUAAGAAAUCUGAUGAGAGAUCCAACAUCUUUAAACCAAUCAAACAUCACCGAACCAUUGGAAAGUGUAUACCUAUAAUUUUUUUUUAUCCCCAAAAACUUUGUCCAAGAUAAAUGAAUGUAUAAAUCUCUUCUACUAGUCUAAGCUUUAACUGUUUUCAACUCCAAACUUCUAAAUCCAACACAGAUUCAAAACAGCCAAGAUUAAUGAGCGACAAAGCGAUAAUAACACAAAUCCCAAAGCAAUCAAAAAGCAAAACCCAAAAAAUGAUAAAUUAAAAGUAAUUCCAGGAGCUCAACAAGAAAGACUACCUGCCAAUGAAUGCCCUCGAGAUUCCCUGAGGAAGUGAACGAGAGAUGAACCUAGUAGUUGUUGGUCUGGCAUUAAUAAGACUUCAGAGGAACAUGGCAAUUAUUAUUAUUAAGAAAACAAUUCAUUGCUAAAACAAAAUUAACUUUUCUAACUUAUUAAAAUUUAACUAGAGAAAAAUUGGAAUACACGAUGUUGUAUCUCAUACGGUAUUUAGACAUCAAGAAAAGAACCCCUCUAUCUGUGAACUAUACUUGCCAGGAAAUUAACACCAGGCGAAUACCACCCCCUCCUACUAUUUAUUAGGUGUCUCAGAGCUUGAUGAGGACUUCCAUGCUGUGUAUCUUCGACAGGCAGCAAAAUUGGGCAAUUGACUACAUUAACUCCAAGAAAUUCAGAGGGCGUUAAUUAAAUACCCUUUUAACAGUAUCUUUUUAUUCUUCUCCAAUCUAACAGUUAUUUGGGAAAUCUAAAUGACAGUCAUGCAUCAAAGGCGUCAAAGUUUGGCUACAAAGCAGCCUGGAAAAGGCUUUACCCUCUGAAUGAGAGCAUGAAUUCGAAAAAUAUGAUGAAUGAAGAAACAAAGGCAUAAUACCACAAGAAGUAAAACUUUUCCCCAGAGCUCUGUUUCUGUUUAUGCUAAAGCCAAUGGAAACCGAUGGAAAUGAAUUUCUACGAAUUAGACAUAUCAGCCAAAACAGGUACUCUGUACAAGCAAAGUAAAAGAGAGUUACAAAAAAAUUUAAAUUGAUAUGAUAAUUAAAAUUUCAGUCACCAUAUAAUCAAUAGAAAACUUUGUAUACAAUGAUUUAUUGCAUAUUAAGAUUGUAUAGCUAAAUUUUAAUUGCUAUACAAAAUAUGAUAUUAGCAUUGGGAGACCGCACCAAAAAGUACCUAAUUGAAUGUGCCUUUUCACAGCCAUUGUACAAGCUUUGAAGCAUUACCACAAAUGCUUUUCAAACCCUUGAACAUGAUGCACCCAAGAGAUGCAAGAUAUGAAAUUGUUACUACAGCCAGCAUUGAAACAUAAUAUUAGCAUUAGGAGACCGCACCAAAGCAUACCGAAUUGAAUGUGCCUUUUCACAGCCAUUUUACAAGCUUUGAAGCUUUACCACAAGUGCUUUUUCCAACCCAUGAACAUGAUGCACCCGAGAGAUGCAAGCUACGAAAUUGUUACUACAGCAAGCAUUGGAGCAUUUGUUAAAAGAAGGAAGUUUAUGAAAAUAUGCCUUUGGAUGGAUACCCAUCUUCAGGAAUCAAUUCAUCCGUAACAACAAUUUUCAAGAAGUAUCAACUGCUUUAAGUUCAUCGACAUCACAGAGAACUUCAACUAAAAUAGAGCGGAUCUGGCCAUCACUAUCCCUUCUACUGCUCUUUUCCUUUAGAGAAUGCUUGAAGUACAGAAUGCGUGUAAGGGAUUCUUAUUCAAGGUCCAAUGAUCAAACCUUGCACAAUAACAACAGAGGUAGUAGUUCCUUCGCCAGCCUAAUCCUUGGUCUCAGGAAUGUCCUCAACAGGGUAUUCGAAAUCAACCUAAAAAUUAAGAAUGAGUUGGAAAACUGUUUAUGGCCCUAAAGAACUUGAAAAUCAGAAAAGAUUACGAAUGAGUGACUAAACAUUUUGAUCGCAACUAAACAUUCAAACCUUGAGAAUCUAAUUUUGAAGUACUCUUGAAUGAAUGAGCAAUUGCAGGAGAUGGUGACAACUAAGAUUACUGCGAAGUCUCUUACGAAUCCUUAAAGAUGAUACUUUACAUACCACGAUAACCUGAUAACACAGAGGAACACAAUGAACAUUAAAGUGUAUUCUGACAAUGCAAAUUUGUGGAAAUUAUCAGCUGUGGUUACCUGGACAAUAUUGCCAACACCAAGCUCCUUCCUCAAUUGAAACAUAUGAUCAGCCCACAAAUGCUUUGCUUUGUAGCUUUUGAGAGCCUGAAAUUGUUUUCACAACAACAGUGAAAAUUAGGUGAAAAAAUUGAUAAUAUUAGCAUAAUUCCAUAUGUUUAUAUAGGAUAAACCGAUCAAAGUAUGAAACAAGAUAGAAAUGAUGAUCUUAGCACCUUAACAUCAUGCAAUAAUAAUCAUCAUGUCUUUCAGGCAGCUAUCCAUCCUCAAUUGAAACAGAGCAGACCCGGCCAUCACUUCCUUCUUCAAAGUCCAGCAACCAAACGUUGCACAAUAACCACAGUGAUAAUCCUUGGUUACCCCAAUGUCCUCCAUAGAGUUUUCAAAGUCAACCUGAAAAUGAAAUAAAAAUGCAAUGCAGGUAGAAAUGAAAAUUCUAUAAAUUAAAUAAAAUAAAAAUGCAAUGCUUGAGCUUGAGCUUGCUUUAACAUCAUCAUAAUAGGGAAUUUAUAUAUAUAUAUUUACUUCUCUGUUCUUGUUUAUUCACAACAAGAUAUCAAUAGAAGAAGAUGGAAAUGAAAUUCUAUAAAAAAAAAGCAAGUGAAUUACCAGCAAAACAUUUUAGCAACCCUUUGGCUAAACUAUUCAUUUUCAUAAUCUUGCUCUCCUGGGUGCAUCAUUAGAACCAAAUUAGCGUGGACCUGCGAAUUGCUAGUGUAGUUCUGACAUUUCCUCGAAUCCCUGGUGAACAUAAUUAAACUCGUAUGAAAUAAAACAAAGUGGGCUCAUGUACUACUAAAAACAAUCACACAAUUACUUUAAAGAAUUAAUGUCACAUAAAUUAUGUAUAAAAAAACACGAUUAUCAUUAUACAAGAUAACAUUGAUAAUUUAGUUUUCAACAUUACUGCAAAUGUAUCACAGAGAUUUUGUCUCUCAGGAAGUUACACAACAAAUUUUUGUGCAUUAAAAAAUAAAAUUCGUUAGGAUUUUCUAUGAUGUUGUAUGAAAUUUUACAAAAGACUACAUAUUUUUUAAAAGAAAUUAUAGAAAUUUCAACAGACUGCACUUGUUUUUUAUUUUAUUAUUAUUUUAGCUUUAGAAAACAAGUUUAACAAAUUUGAUGACUAGGAAGUUUAAAUUUUAAAUAAUUGAAAUUAAAAUAUUAUCCUAACUAACCUUUAUGAACAAUUGAUUAAAUUUAACACUACAUAUUUAUACUAUGAUUGAUUCUGUAAUUUUUAUAAUAGCAUCAUAAAGUGACCCAUUAAAUUAAUGGUGGAAGUAAAUAGUUAAAUUCAAUACGCAAAUCAAAAUAUUAGAAAAUAUUGUAUAUUCCUGUUAGACAUUGGGCAAUAUAUAGAAUUUUAAUUCAAAAUAUGAUUAUUUUUAUUAAUUUUAUUGCAAGCAACAACAGAGUAAAUCAGUGGAGGAGGAGAAAUUACCGGCGAGUGAUAUCUUACGCCGACCGCAUGAUGUGGGGAAGGUGAGAUAUCUUAUGCCUGUCUUCUCCUUCCCCUUCUCUGUAACCCCAAAUUGUCAAUGUCUGCAGUGUCGUUGUUUGAAUUUACCACUCGAUGUGGGGAAUGUGAGAUAUCCUAUGCCAGUCUUCUCCUUUCCCCUCUCUAUAACGGUUUUCCAGAAGAGGACAUCCCUGAAUACUCAAUUGCUGCAGCGUCGUCGUCCGAAGAAGGUAAUCCGGCAGCACCUUUAAUUUGGGGCAAUACUCAAUUUCCAAGGAAGAAAGACGUGGUAUGUCUGUUGUCCUGUGAUCUUCUAGAAUGGGCAGUUCUUCCAUAAUUGGACAAUAAGAAAUACUCAAUUUCUGCAGUGUCGUCGAUUGAAAAAGGUAAUCCGGCAGCACCCUUAAUCUGGGGCAAUGCCAAAUCGUCAAGGAAGAAAGACGCGGCAUGAUGGAGAUGUUUUCCUUUCUUGUAAUCCUAUAAUUCCACUCUUCCAAUUCUUCCAUUGCCCCAACGUGGAGUGAUUUUAAUUUGGGGAAGGCAAUGACUGAUGAUGAUGAUGAAGAUGAAGAUGGGUCAUCCUCACUGCUUCCUUCGAUUCCCAAAAACUCAUUACCCACUCUUUUCACACCAUACAGGCCGUAAAGGGUGAGUUUUUGCAGCGGCAAUUUUCCCAAGGGAGGAAAAUGCUCACAGAUAACGCACGAUUUAAGUCUUAAAUCCCUUAGAUUGGUUAGUGAAGUCAACCAUUUGGGAAAUAUGUUGCCUCCGUAGGAUACAAUCCCUAAUUCUUUUACAUUCAAAGGCGGUUGUAAGGCUUCCAGAAGUUGUUGAUUCUUCCUCCUCCCUUCUUCACCUUCCACGUCAAACUCAAGAGAUAAACGAAGGAGGUUUUUCAUAUUGUGAAGUCCUAAUCUCUCAGCCUCAUCUAAAUGUGACACAUUACUCAGCCCUUCUAUUCCACAUUCUCGAAGGAGUUGAAGAUUUUUCAGAGAUUCAAGCCUACACGUACUGAUAUCAUUAACACCUCCGCCCACAGCAAACUUUUCUAAUGUUCGAAGACUGGUUAAUUUGGAAAUCCCUAUUGGCAUGUACUUCAGCGAAGGAGUGCCACCAUUCAGUAAACUCCUCAUGUUCUUUAACUUCCCAAUCCCCGCCGGCAAUUCUCUAAGAUCUUCGCACCACCUAAUAUCUAGCUUUUGUAAAUUAUAUAAUUCACACAAAGUCUCAGGCAGUAUCUCUAUACAUAAUUCAGAAAAAUUAAGAUAUUUUAAAUGUAUCAAUUUUCCGACAUUUUCUGGAAUUUCUCUAAUCAAAUUUGGGUAAGGAUCAAAUAUAAAAUUCCGUUGCCCUAUAACUAAUGCCCUUAAACACGCCAAUUUACUAAAUAACUCCGAAAGGAUGCUACUAUUAAGAGACGGAUUGGAACGACUUUGGAAAUAAAUUAGGAGGGUCCGCAAUCUAUUAAGUCCAUGAAUGGACAUAGGAAAUGAAGCUCCUCCUUCAAAAUUUAACCCUAAGUGACGGACUUUAUCACCAAAAGAGUUUAUGACUGAUUCCUUGGUACCAUUAAUUUCUACCCACAAACAUUCUUUUCUACUUACAAAUUGGGCAAAAUCAUGUACUAUGUCAUGCAUCUUGCAGCUCAUAAUAUCAUCAUCAUCAUCAUCAUCAUCAUCUUUUUUAAACUCUUGAAAGAAAGAGCGUGCUGCUAAAAUAUUGAAAUACUCUUCCCCAGUCAUCUCCAUCUCUUCGUCUUCUUCUGCAUUAAGGUAACCUUGAACCAUCCAUAGUGAAAUUAGUUCCUUUUUUUUUAUAUUGUAGUCUUUCGGAAAGACAGAACAAUAUGAAAAACAUCGUUUUACCAUAGAAUUGGAGGGCAAAUCAUUAUAACUCAACAACAAUGGAGCAAAAAGGCCUUGCCCAAUCUCUUCUACUUUCCACAUUUCACUAUCUAAAAUUUUUUGCCACUCUUUUAUUGUACUUUUAGAGCGUAAGAGAUUCCCUGUUACCUUUGCAGCAAGAGGCAGGCCUUUGCACUUGCGUGCAAUUUUUCGCCCGAUUGGUUCUAAUUUUUCACAAUCCUCGAAAGAGCGACCGGAAAAUGCUAACAUCUUGAACAACAACCAACAUUCCUCUUCAGUCAAUUGCUCAAUGAAGAUAAUAUUUGUUGAUCCCAUCAUACGUGCAACUGACUCAUUACGUGUGGUAACCAAAAUUUUACUUCCAUGGAGACCAUGCUUUAGACAAUGGAAGAAUGGUUCCCAUUUAUUAUAAUCCCCAUCCCAUACAUCAUCUAAGACAAGAAAAAAAAUUUUUCCUUCAAUUGAUCUAUGGAUAUGGCUUAGAAGAGAUUGGAAUUCGCUUAAACUAGAAGUUGACUCACCUAGACCUUCAAUGAUUGCAUUGGCAACCCUAAUCUCCUCAAAAGUGUCUGAUACACACACCCAUAUAACUUUUUCAAAAUUUCUUUUCACCUCAUCAUUAUUAUAGGCCAGUUGUGCAAGAGUGGUUUUACCUACGCCCCCUAACCCAACUAGUGAGAUGACAUGAAGGCCUUUUUGUUGUUCACUACUUUCAAACAACAACUUGCUUAAGAGCUCGUUUUUCUCGUCAACUCUACCACAGACCUCUCCCUCAUCAAUCAAGGAGGUGGUUGGCGCUUGUUUCGGUUUUUUAACACGGUUACUCACAUUCUCAACAAAUUUAAACCUAUCUUUUUGGGAGGCAAUAUCAUCUAGCUUUUCAUUGAUUUCCCUAAUCUUGACAGCAAUGUCAUGACGAAGACUGAGUUGUUUGAAACUACCAAAGCAGUUUGAUACAGCAGGAAAGAAGGAACGUACCUUCUUCUUGUGAGGAGCAAGGGAAAAAGCAUUGUCAUCAUCAACGCCCUCAAUUUGCAAUUUGAGCCUUGCAAAGACCCACUCGUCCAACACAUCUUCCAUGUCGUAGGACGCGUCUUUGAGCUGAUCCAGCCAAAAAGUAACAGCUUUGUCUUGCUGCAUUUGCCUUUGCUCGGCAUCGUCCAGCACAGCUCGAAUGGCUUGAAGAUUGCUGGUAAGCUUUUUCACUUCUUCUCGGACACCAGUCACAAGCCUCACCUGUUGUUUCACUUCAUCAGCCGCAACAGAGAUCAGCUGCUCCAGGAGAGAGGAAACGAUCGCAUCAACCAUUCUGACAAAGAAGACGAGAAUUCUGAAGAGUUAUUAGAUGUGCUUUUGUUGCGAUGAUACUGAAAGAAAAGGAGUUAUUGCAUUCUUUUAUACUGCAUAGAAAAAGCUUAUGCUUAUCCCCACCCCACACGUCAAUGAUUGUAGAACGUUUAAUUUCCCUGAUUCUACUCCACUAGUUUUCAUGCGUAAUUAUAAAUAUUCUCAAGUUAUGUAUGAAAUAGCACAAAUUUGGAUCUAAUAAUGAUUUUUAUGCUUUUUGUGUGUUCACUUUUUCAUAAUCUUCUACUUUAAAAAGUGAGCACAAAAAUAAUAUCAAGCAUUAACUCAAAUUCACAAAGGAAUAAAUGACGAAAAGAAAAAAGAUUGGAGAAAUCAUAUUGGUAAAUUAGCACAUUGUUUUUUUAAUAAUCUCGAUAAAAUUAGUAAUAUUCAUAUUAGUCCCUAAAAAAUAAAUAGAUAUGACUAAAGAAAACUCUUGGUAGUCUCCACGAUCAGAAUUUAUUGAAAUAUUUUUAGCCUAGGUAAAAAAGCAAGUUCCCAACUUCACCGUUAGGUAAAUCUGAAAUCCUUUCUCGCAGACUUUUGCACAAAAUAGAGUGUGAGUACUACAUUUUACGAUCUAACAAAAUGAUUUUUAUUAUUGUAAAACUAUUAACAAUAACCUAAAAUACUUUAUCUGCAUGUUAUUUUUAUUAUUAACAAUAAACUUUUAACAACUUUUAUGCAAAGGAGUCCCCACUCUCUACCUGGGGAAUUUGGCAUUGGAUGCAAAAAUUAUGCUUAUCUUUAAUUUCCCUGAUUCUACUCCACCGAUAAACACAUGUUCUGCACUAACAUUUUUAAAUUCCCACACAUUAGGAAUUUGGCACAUAAUAAUAAAUAUUCUCAAAUUCGUCGCAUCUUUACGUAUGAGCGAGUGUUCUGUCUAUUUCACUUUUCUAUCUUACUGCAAUUUCAAGGCGGCUCAAUCAUAUUUUAGGUCUUAAAUAAAUUGAUUUAAUUAGACUUUCUAAAAAAUUUGAGGUGAAAUAUGUGUAUUAAUUUUAUUAAAGUUUUAUUUAUUUAAAAUAAAUUUCUCUACCUUUCUGAGAUGCAAAAUUAUUAAUCAACUUUUUAUAUUCUAAUUUUGCUAAUAUAUCUUUCUCAAUAGAUAAUAUAGUUAACUUAUUUAAUCUUUCCUAUGACAUGGUUGAUCUUAAAUAAUUUUUUAUCAAUAGCACGUUUUUAGAUUAAGCUAACUUUUCUAUUCUUCUCCUUUUAUGAAGUUUUUUGUAUCAUGAUGCAUAGUUUUUAGUAGACAUUUUUUUUUUCUAAGGAAACAAGAGUAAUCAUGCAAACAAUUAUGCUAGAUAAUUAAAAGCAAACAACCUAUGAGCAGAAUAAUAUUUUUACAAAAAAACAAAAACACCUAAAUAACACAAUUAAUUAAUAAGAGAAUUGGAAGAUAAAACCUGAAAAUUUGAGAAAUUUAACUUUGAUGGAUUGAGGCUUUGAGCAACAAUGAUCAAAAGAAAGUAAAACAAUUAAUUUUCUUUUCUUCCUUAUGCAAAAAGUAAGGUAGAGAAAGUAGUUUUUUCACCAAAGCAAUGAAGGUUUUGUGUUUUUUUUAUUGGAAAAAGAUAUUAAUGGAUAAUAAUUUAAAAAAGGUGUGGCCUUUAUAGAGUUUUAAAUGAAAUAAAUGGAGGAAAUAAAUGGAUUAUAAUUGUUAAUUAUAUUGUUAAAAGGGGAUUUUGUAAGAAUCUAGUAGUUUGUUUAUGGAAAAUAUAGUUAUAAAUAAUAAAUAUAAAUCAAUAAUUAAUAACUAUAAUUUAGGAAUUAAAUUAGAAACCUUCAUUUAUAAUGGGGUCCUAGGUUAAAUGUGGGGUCCUGAACAACCACCUAAAUUAUCCUAAGUUGCCUGAGGUAAGAGCCGCUCCAAACUGUAAUGUCAGGUAGAGGAAUUCAGUUCCCCCAAGGGAUGGAAACGAUGGCAUCAACCAUUUGAUGUUCGAUUUAAAUGCUAAAUUUUACAUUUGCUUUUGUUGCGAAAGUGCUCAAGGGAAAGUAGCUUUUGUGUAUUCAGUCAGAAUGCUCAUUCAAGCAUUUUUGCAUUCUUCUUAUGCUACAUGAGAUAUUUAAUUUUUACCCUUGAGUCGAUGUCAAUGUAAAUGCUUUUAUGCUGCAAAUUAAAGAAAUCCCAAUAGCCGUCACCGUCUCGGGCUAACUUUCCGCUCCACCACAACAAUAAUUGUACAACAUCUGCCCUGUUUCUCUGAUUCAUAAUAAUUAUGCAGAUUACUCAGCACCAACAUUUGUAAAUUUCUUACAUUAUAAGUAACAAAAUAUUUGUAAACUACGACAAAAACUUAAAACAAUCUACCGAUGAACCUUCUGAAGUUAUAUAUAAUAGAUUAACUUAACCUAGAAUAAUCUUAGUGCUGUAACAAUUUCAAAAUAAAUGAUGUUUUAUUAUAAAAACAUGUCCAAGUAAUUGUCCCAUAUAAAAGGUAUCUUUCCACUUAAGAAUGUAUCAUUUCAUAUUGUCAUUUCAUUUGAAAUGGUGAUGGACCAAUUUAGACAAUUGAUUAAAAUCAAAUCUUGAUCCAAUGACCAUAAAUGAAUGGGUAUCAUGAAAAAUGACAAUCCAAAUGGAGGGCACAAGUAUAUUUAUAAAUAGAGGCCAUGUUUAGUGAAAUUCUAGUUAUGCAACCCAAGAGGGGGGGUGAAUUGGGAUUCUAAAAAUUAUUCAAUUUUUAAAGCAUGCAAAUAUAAAACGAAUUUAAAGCAAUAACAAAUAAAUUUAUCACAAUAUAAAAAGAUAAGGUAAGAGAGAUUCAAACAUAAGGAUUUUUAUGUGGUUCGGCCAACCUCGCUUACGUCCACGCCUCCAAGCUUUCUGAGCUUCAGGAUUCCACUAAGCAAGCUUCCAAGACUUCAAAUGCUUACACUUGACUUCUAAGGUGUCAAUAAACCUUUACAACAAGAGAUUAUCCCCAAUCUCUUAACCCAAGUGUAUCCCAACACUUACAAUCACUCAAUUUGAUUUUAAAGAAUGUUACAAAAUAAAUUUCUCUCACACUAUGUGUUUGAUUACAAAUGAAGACUCAAAGUGUGAGUAAAUGAGAUGAAUAUAGGAAUUUAAGGCUCAAUGAAUGUUGUAUGCUCAAGACUUUGCUCAAUAAUAAUUGUUGGAAUCGUUUUAGUUUGAAUUUGAUUGAGCAUAUUUAUUGCUGGAGCUGAAAACUAGCUAUUAUUGACUUUCUGCACACUGUCGGAUCACCGUUUUAAAUAGUCAAUAUGACCGUUGGGCUGAAUUCUUAAAUUGUUGGAUCGCCGUUAUCUAGAUGUCGGAUCGUCGUUAGUGUCCAGAGACUAAUCUUCAAUUCUGUGCAAUGUCGGUUAGCCGUUAUCAAGUUGUCGGAUCACCGCUAGUGUCCAGAGGCUAAUCUUUAGUUCUAUUCGAUGUCGGCGAGCCGUUAUCAAGAUGUCGGAUAGCCGUUUUCUACAGUAACUACUACAGGGAACUAUUUUGUAAAAUAAUAGUUUGACCCCAAAACUUCAGAAAAUUAUACUAUGACCCAACACUUUAUAAAACUUGUUAAAUAGAUCCAUUUAUAGGAUUUGAAACAAUAUUUGUUAUUAUCAAAAUUCUCAAAUCUUUUUCAAUUGAAACCAUUAACAUGAGAAUAACCAAAAAUAUUUCCAUAGAAUAUAAAGUCUUUAUAAAGUGAGAGUGAUGAUUUAAAAGUAUAUGAAAAUUAUUUUGAGCUUUUAAAAGAUUAAUCAAUCUUAAUUAAAUUUGUUAUCAUCAAAAUCAAUAAUAAAGAAAUAUUUAUGUUAGCAAUCUUCCCCUUUUUGAUGAUGACAAACUGUUCAAGAAAAUAUUUGUGCAAUUUUGCUCCCCCUAAAUAUGUGCUCCCCCUAAGUAAAAUAUUUAAGGAAUUUAACUUCCCCUAAAUAUGUGCCCAUCAAUUUUUAAUCUCAUAAAAAAAAAUUUAAAUAGAACAGAUUGAAUCGAUAAAUUAUAUCAUCAAUUUUUAAUCUCAUAAAAAAAUUUUAAACAGAACAUAUUGAAUUGAUCAAUUAUCUCCCCCCUUAAUCAUAAAAAAGAAAUGAGCACAAAAAGAGUAAAAAUGAGAAGUUCAGAGAGUACCCAUGUUGGAAAAAUUUUGGCAGAAUCUCCCCUUAAAAAUGAACAUAUCCUCAACAAUACAAAUAGUUAAAACACUCCCAUAUAUACAUUCCAACUUAUCAACCAACCUCCAUUCCAACGAAUUCAAUAUAAUCAUGAACAAUAACCAAACAUGUCAUCAAAAUCAACGAAAUCAUAAAUUGUAAUACCCCACACCCGAUUUUGACCCUGUUGACCACCCUUAUAAAUUGAGAGAGAGAGAGAGAGAGAGAAAGGAAAGAGAGAAUAGAAGAGAGAGAGAGAGAGGGGAGAAACCGAACCGGAUCCAACCCGACCCGCGAGCGCGACCCGGCCGGUUCUCCCAUUUCUGGCCACCAUUCCGGUCAAGGUUGGUACCGAUUUGAAGCUUGAGAGACGAGCAACGUAUCCAUGCCGUCCUUGCCGCCGGAAAUCGAUCGGAAAGCCACCGAUCGAAGCUUUGAAGUUCCGCGGAAUCGCCGCCUCGAUUCACUGUGAUUUCGCUGGUUUCUGGUGAAGGCAUCACUUGGGUUUUGUUCCUUCGACCAUUUCCGACUAACCACUCACGUUGGGGACGUCGUUUUGUCGUUGGUCGGCCGUUGAAGGAUUCAUGACUUCGGGAGCUCGAUCUGAAGCCAUCACCGCCCGUGGGAGGUCACCACCGCCACCAUUGGACUCAGCGUGGCUUGAACUUUCAGUUCUGAGCUUCCCGUUGCCGUCGGUUGAAUUCUGGUGACCGUUGACCAGCAAGGGUAUUUCAGUAAUUUCACAAUCUAAGGGCAAUUUUGUAAUUUCAAAUUUUGUGGGUAUUUUAGUAAUUGUUGAAAUUGAGGAUAAACUUGGUAAUUUAUGAUUUUGAGGUUAAUUUGGUAAUUUUGAUAUUUGAGGGUAUUUUGGUAAUAUUGAAUUCAAGGGCAUUUUGGUAAUUUUGAUCUUUGAGGGUAAUUUCAAAAUUUCAAGAAUUAUCAGUAUUUUGAUGAUUUAUGAUUUAAAUUAAGAUUAUUUGAGGUGAAGUAUGAAAUGUGAUUAUAUUGAGGAAUUUGAGAAUAUUGGAGUAUAUGAUUAUGGUUUAAUUUUAUUCUUAUGAGAGUAUUUUUAUUUAUUUUUAGGCCGAUGAUAUCGAUGUGCAUUUGUUACUCAAGGAUACCAGGAGGUAAGUAAACUAGAUUUCCAAACGAAUCACAAUAAACAAUAUAUAUGUUUGACAUGUUUGGAAAGCCUAUUUUUAUAUAAGUACGGAUAUUGAUUUAUAUGCUCUGCCCAUGUGUUUAUACGAUAUGUUGAUAUGAUGUGUUGUUAUGUGUGUUUAUGGACAUGGGCAUACGUAUGUGUGAAUAUUUCAUUGGCAUGAGCACGAAAUGCAUUAUGUUUUCUAUAAAAUGAGAAAGUGAAUUUUAGCCAAAUGGAAUUUGUAGAAAGAAAGAUUGUUUUACAGUUUUAGCUUGGAUGCUUGAAUUCGUUAUUGGCUUAGUGGAAGACACUCUAGAUGUUUAUAUAGUUAUGAGAUAAGUGGGCGAAGGACGCAUUGGCGAGAAGCCCAAAGAGUAUGAAAGUUAUGAAAAUUAUGAAAGUUAAGGGAGUGUCCUACUAAGCGGUAAUCGAAUAAAGGUAGCUCAAGUAAGUGGUUUGAAAGAGAAUGUGAAAGUUUGAGAAAGACAUAAUGAGAUUUCAAUUAUUUUUUUUACGAUGUUUUCGAAUAUCAUGGCACGUCAUUCAUUUGCACUAUCUAUAUGUAUGUAUGUAUUUUGGUAUAUGCAAAACUAGUUUACUUAUUGAGUUUCGUACUCAUUAUAGUUUAUUGUGAUUCAGUUUCCGUAAAUCAGGAUUGAUUCGUGAUGAUCGUCGAGAAGGACUUGAAUGGAGGAAUUAGAUGGUUUGGCAUGAAUUUUAAAUUCUUCCGCUGCAGUUUACGUUUUAUAUUUGUAUUUUCAAGGAUAUAAUUUUUAUGGAUUGUAAAAGGAUUAUUAUUAUUUAUUAUUAUUUUAUUUUUAAGCAUCUAUCAGUAAGAUUCGCCCUGUGGAGGUCGGGGUGGGUCGUUGCAUAAAUAAAAUUCACAUAUCCAAUAAAAACAUCAUAAAAGCAUCACAAGAACAAUAAAAAAAAAACAAAAAGUACCACAACAAACUACAUGAAAUGAGUAAUGUUUGUGCGAAAAUCAUAGGGGCAGAAAAUUAAGAUGGGGGCGGUGAAGAGGAACUUCCGGGAUCAUAGCCAAGGCGACCAAGAAUACGGCACUGUCCAGCAAGUAACUUCAUCUGCUGAUUUAAUAUCUGCCGCCGAAAAGUCACAAAAUCAGAUUGAAGCUGCUGCUGCUACUGGGAGAGUGUAUCCAUCUUGUCGAAGAGCUGCUAAAAGCGGUCCUCAGAAGCAGAAGAUGCUGCAAGAGGGAUGGCUGGCUCAGUUGGCUUGUCAUCCGAAGAGGAAGCUGCUGCGGAUGCUGCUGCUGUUGCUCGGCGAGGGGCACGCGGUCUAGCCCUAAGGCGGAAGUCGGGUAACUCACCCUUGAAAUAGACAUCAUUUAGCAUGCUAUCAUCCUCUGGAGCAAUAAAAGUGUCUUCAUUCUUAGAGGAUGUUGUCUUUUCCCACUUCCCAUUCUUCUUAAAAAAUCCGAUCGCAGACAUAAUCUCUCGACCGAGCUUUCGGGUCUCGAGAUAAACAGGCUUAGUGGUUAAUGGGCCAAGAGUGAAGCACUAUAUGGGAGAUGAGGUGAACAGCCUAAUGAAGGAUCGGUUCUUAAAGGAUCGAGGUUGAGGAAACAAGAAAGGUCAGGCUUAAAGACCUAAAAUCAAGCGCUAAUUGGGAGGCAACCCAAUAAGGGAAGUUGUUUUAACUUUUUAAAGCAUUAAAUUUAGUUUUUAAAUUAUUGAAUUUGUCUUGCUGUUAUUUUAAGUGUGCAUCCAAUUUUUUAUGUCUUUGUGUUAAAUUGCAGCAGGUAAAAAAAAAACAAAAAAAUGCGAAAAAAAGAGUAGCAAAGAAUUACUGCAGCAUCACUUACAGCAUGACAUAUAACAGAAGAUUCUCAAACAAUAGAGGCAUUUCUUGCUUUUGCAGCAGUAAAUGGAUUGAUCAGAUUUUAUGAUAAGGAGCGUUUGAGAAGUAUAUUAAAGAAAAAGUGACCUUUUACAGCCUAUGCUGCAACAGUGCUUCCAGUAACCGGGCAGUACCCCUAACCGCUAGUUUAUUUUACUUCUUGCUGCAAAACUUUUCUUUCAUUUAGUUUUAAUUUUCUAAUUCAUUCUGCAUGUCCUUUUAUUUAGUGUAUACAUGUCUGGUUUAUGUGGUUUUGUUUUGUGUGCUUGUGAGGACACAACAUCACUCAAGUUUGGGGGGGUUAUGUUUCUGAGUGCAUGUAUUUAUGCUUGUGUUGUAUGAAGCUUUGUUAUCUAAUAUUUGUGUAUGAAUUUGAAAACCUAAUGAAGAUAAAUUGAGUGCUAUUCAGUAUUUAUGAGAAAGCGAAGUAGAGAUAGUUAUAGAUGGGGGUUGAACUUCUGUCCCGACACUUAGACUUUGGUUGAGUUUUACGAGAAUGCAGUAGCAGAGCCAGGAAAACGAAAAAAGAGUAGAAAAUAUCUAAAGUUUGGGGGAAAAUUUUUGUUGAACUGUGCUUGUUAUGAAAUAAAUUUUGCUCCAAUGGCUUAAGUUGUUGAGUAACCAAGGUUGAGUGUGUACCCCAUAUGCAAACUUGAGUCCAAAGGUAGAAAGAGUUAUGAGCAAUGCUGCAGCAAUUAUAUAUUGAAACAAAAGAAAAAAUGGUGAUGAAGGAAUGAAAAAUAAAGAGGUCCGCUGUCUAGGAUACUGAGUAAUUUGGUCUGUUCAUGAGCCCCAUGUUCAGCCUUGAGUCAAAGGCGUCCAAAGGCAAGACCUAGAUAUAACAUCCUAAAUGUGUUGCUGCAGUAACUCUGACAUGUACUUUGAGUGAGUAAUUGGGUGUCGUCAUUACAAGUGAUGGGCACUCACAUGAAAGCUCAAUGUUGCAUUGAAGGGUUUAACUGAAAAAAAAAGUAUUAUUAUUGUAGCACAGUUUGAGUUUAUUUCUGAAUUUUACUCCCUCAUAUGUGAAUAUAUUUGUGUUCUAUCUCUGAAUUAUAUGCCUGUGUAAUGUUGUAGCACCUCUGAAACUUGAUCAAAGUGGCACACACACACUCUGCACAGAAUGAAGCCUAGUUCGAGAACUAAACUAUUAUGGUUAUUUUGCGUGAUUAAGAAUGUGAUAUGAGGGUUGAAGAAUCCUUACAAAUUUGAUGACAGAGCUAAGUUAUUUGUUGAAUGAUUGUGUGAUUGAAGUGUUAGUGUUAUUGUCAUUACUUGAGGACAAGUAAUGGUUUAAGUUUGGGUGUGUGAUAACUCUAUAAAAUGAGAGUUAUUAUGGCACUUUUAGACUUAAAUCAAUAUGGUUUAAAGAGUAAAUGAUGUGUUUCUAUUGUAUUUUGUUACAUUUUGCAUAAAUAUUCAUUUUAAUUUAGUCUUAAUAAGUUUUGCUCGAUUUAAAGUAAUUUGUGCUCAAAUUGUGUGCAAAAUUGUAGGUUUCCAGAAGUUUAUAAUUCAUGGAAGGAAUGCUAUGCAAUAAGGUUGCAAAAAUAAGGAAAGAACAUGGCUAAAAAAGAGUUGAAACAAAUCUGAAACAAUGCAGUUGCUGUAGAUAUUGCUGUAGCAACCAUUGCUGUAGCAAUCCUGGAACAACGACAGAGAAAAUUUCGCGCGGGAUACUUGCAGAAUUGCGAUCUGCAGUUUCCUAAUCAGACUUAUGCGCGCCCUAGGGUUCCGUUUACCCUAAUUUUCAACUAUAAAAGAAGCACACAUCAUAAGGAAAAGAGGGAGCCGUCACCCAAGGAGAAAAACACAAAGAAACAAAAGAAAAACAAGAUUCAAGAGAGAAAUUAAGGGCUGCACAAGAGGAGAAUUUACAGAAAUCAAUUGGGAGCUCAAUCCUUCUUAUUCUUCUCUUGUUUUCGUGUUUUCUAUUUAUACAUGGGGAUGCAUUUCAUGACUGAAACUUUGUUCUUUAUUUUUUUUUUUUUUUGCAAACCAUGAACUAAAUUUAUUUGUGGUUGAGUGAUAAACAAUCUUGAUGGUUUAUUGAUUGAAUACAUGUGUUGUUGCAUGUUUACUGUAGCAGUUUGUUUUGAUAGUAUUUAUUUUUAUUCAUUAUUUCGGUUGAUCACCCAUUUAAUAAUACAAGUUAGGAGAGAGCCGCAAAAGGGCCUAUCUUAGUGGAACAUAUCAGAGCAAUACUUGGUUUAGAUUGAGUUUCCUGGAUUGAGUUUAACUUAUUCCAAAAGGGCCAUGCUUCAUUUAAAAUUAGUGAUGAACUAGACAUAUGGAUUCACCUUGUAGGGUGAAUAGAAUCUAAGCGUGUAAUACUAUAUCUUAUGUUGGCAUAACAACUGAUCACUGUUAGGUUACAUAUAGAUAUAAGAUAUCCAACAUGCGACAGCUGAGGAUACAUAAGGAUUCUGCCCAGUGUUGUAGCAAAUACUGCAGCAACCGAGCCAACCAUUAGAAAAUAGUCAAGACCAUUAGGAGAGUUUAGUCACUCAACUACUAUAUAUUUCCAUUAGUUUUAUCAUUGAGCUUGAUGUGAUAGUUUACUUUGUUGCAUUUAUUUAUUGUGUUUUUAUUUUAAUUAGUACAUUAGUUUCAUUAAUUGUUUAUUUUAUUUUAGCACAAAAUCUGCACUGUUAAGAUUGUUGUAGCAAAUCUGAUAACAUCAAUCCUUGUGGAGACGAUCUUGAAUACUCAUCACUUUAUUACUUGUUGUGUACACUUACACAUUGACACCAAUAGCAUUAGUAUUUAUACACCAACAGUACCUAUGACAGAUUGAUGUUCCGGUUUAGGAACUAAUUCCCACACAUUGUUUCUUUUAAAUUGAUUUAACUCCUCUUGUAUUGUCAUAAUCUAAGAUUCAUCAUUUUCCGCAUCCUCAAAGGAUUUGGGUUCAAUUUGAGAAAUAAAUGCAUUAUGCUCACAAGUAUUCCUAAGUGAUGAUCUAGUUGUAAUACCUCGUGAGGGAUCUCCUAAAAUUACAUUCUUAAGGUGAGAAGAAACAUACCUCCACUCUUUUGGGAGUGAUUGAAAAGUACCUUCAUUUUACUCUACAUUUGUUUCUUUAUGUUGCUCAUCUUGAUUCCCAUGAGACGCAUCCUUUUGGUUAUCUUUUGAUGACUCUUUUUGUAAGUCUUCAUCUGCAUCAUUAUCAACAACAACUUUCUCCGUAGAGGAGGGGUUAGAUUCAUCAAAUAUAACAUGCAUCGAUUCUUCUACAACUAGAGUUCUUUUGUUAUAAACUCUAUAAGCUUCACUUGAGUUUGAAUAUCCAAGAAAAAUACCAACAUCGGAUUUUGAAUCAAAUUUGCCAAGAUUAUCUUUUGUGUUCAAAAUAAAACAUUUGCAUCCAAAAACUUUGAAAUAACCAAUAUUGGGUUUUCUAUCUUUCCAAAGCUCAUAUGGAGUUUUAUUAAGAUUAGGUCUAAUCAACACAUGAUUUAAAACAUAACAAACGGUGUUGACGGCCUCGGCCCAAAAAUACUUAAGCAAGGAAUUUUCAUUCAACAUAGUCCUAUCCAUUUCUUAAAUUGACAUAUUCUUUCUCUCAACAACUCCAUUUUGUUGUGGAAUUCUAGGUGAUGAAAAUUGAUGCACAAUGCCUAGAUUAUUGCAAAAGGUUUCAAAUGCAUAGUUUUCAAACUCUCCUCCAUGAUCACUUCUAAUGCAUGCAAUACCAUACCCUUUUUCAUUUUGAAUUUUCUUACAAAGUACUUUAAAAGCAUCAAGAGCAUCAUCCUUAUUAAUUAAGAAUAAUACCCAAGUGUAUCUUGAAAAAUCAUCAACAAUUACAAAAGCGUAAUAUUUUCCAUUCAAGCUAGCAUACCUUGAAGGUCCAAAUAAAUCUAUAUGAAGUAAUUGAAGCGGUUUUGAAGUAGAAAUAUAAUUUUUACUUUUAAAAGAGGUUUUGAUUUGUUUACCAAAUUGGUAUGCUUCACAAAUUUUAUCUUUUUGAAAACCAAUUUUUGGAAGACCUUCAACUAAAUCAUUUUUGGAAAUCUUUGAAAUUAAAUCCAUGCUUGCAUGUCCUAGUCUUCUAUGCCAUAACCAACUAUCAUCAUGCAAUGCCGAAAAACAUUUAUCAUUAGUGGAUGCACAUUCUAUGUCAAUGGUAUAAACAUUACCACAUCUAUUUCUAAUAAAUAAAAUCUUGUUAUCACAUGCAUUCUCAAUAAUACAUUUAGAUUUAUCAAAAGUAAUUUUAUAACCUUUGUCACACAAUUGACUAAUAUUAAUCAAAUUGUGUUUCAAGUUUUCAACUAAACAUACAUUUUCAAUUAAAGUUGACGAAAUUUUACCGACAUUUCCAACUUCGAGAAUCUUUCCUUUUGAGUUAUCUCCAAAAGAAACAUCUCCACCAUUUUUGAUUGUGGUGAAACUUGAAAACCAUGCAUAGUUUCUGGUCAUGUGCCUUGAGCAACCACUAUCCAAGAACCACUUAUUUUUCUUUUUCUUUAAUCCCUGCAGAAAAAGUUUCUAAGUUUUAGGUACCCAAAACUUCUUGGGUCCUUGUAUGUUAGCAAUGGUUCCUUUUGGAACCCAAAUACAUUUCACACCAUAAUAUGCAUUUCUUUUUACUGGACAUCUAUUUUUCAUGUGUCCAUCUUGAUUACAAUGAUGACAUACAAUUUGAUUGUUAAUAGAAGUACUUUUCACAAAGUAGUUUUUAUAAUAUUUUUGUUUUAAGUUUGGCUUAUAUCCAAUACCUCCUUUAUCAAACACACAUUUUUGUGAAUUGAGCAUGUUUUCCAACAUCUUUUGUCCAUUUGUAAACUUUAGCACAAUUUCAUUUAGUUCAUUAUUUUUCUUCUUAAGCACUUCAUUCUCUUUCAUUAACUCAUCCACAUGUGAUUUUUCAUGUUCAUAAGUGCUUUGUUUACCUUUAAGAGCUAAAGUUUUAUCAUGCAACAUUUUAUUCUCUAAUUCUAAUUCUUUUAUCUUCUCAUUAUUGCAUUUUUCCAGGGCAUCUUUUUCAUUUGUAAGUUCUAGCAUUUUCAUUUUAAGGCAUGCAUUCUUUUUACCAAUUUUCAUCAACUCAUCAUGUAAUUCUUUAAAAGCAUCAUACAACUCAUCAUAGGUAGGAUCACUUACCUCAUUGAGAUCAUCAUCAUCUCCUAUUGCCAUAAGUGUUAGGUUUGAUGCUUCAUGCAAUUCAUCUUCAUCACUUGAAUCUUCAUCGCUAUCAUCCUAAGUAGCAACCAUGGCUUUCUUCUUGAAUUUGUUGAGAAGUGGGCAUUCCGAUCUUAUAUGGCCGGGCUUUUAGCAUUCAUAGCAUAUGAUUGCCUCUUUCUUCUCCUUUUGAUUCUUGAAGUUUCUAAAUCUUCUUCGCUCACCGGUUUUCUUGAAGAAUUUUCUAAACCUCAUUUCUAGCAUGGCCAACUCCUCAUCAUCCGGUUCACUUUGCUCAUCACUCUCAAAUUUUGAAGCUUUGAGAACAAUACUUUUCCCUUUUUUCGGCUGCUAAGUCUUCUUCAUAUGAAAUAAAAGAGCCAAUUAAAUCAUCAAGAGGUAAAGUAUUUAAAUUUUUGGCCUCUUAAAUAGCAGUCCUCUUAGGUCUCCAUUCCUUAGGAAGUGACCUAAUGAUUUUCUUUACUUUCUCACUAUUUGAGAAAACUUUUCCCAAAGCUCCUAGGGUGUUCACCAUGUCCGUAAAUCUAGUAUACAUAGAAUACACAUUUUUAUUUUGUUCCAUUUGGAAUAAUUCAUAUUGACGAGUGUAUCUACUAAUUUUAAUCUCUUUAACUUGAUUUGUCCCUUCAUAAACAACUUCAAGUUUAUUCCAUAUUUCUUGUGCACUUUCACAACUAGAUACUCUAUGGAAUUCUUUCUUAUCAAGAGCACAAAACAAGGCAUUCAUUGCCUUGGAGUUUAAGGACAUCUUUCUCUUUUCUAACUCACUCCAUUGACUUGAUGGUUUAGGAAUAUCAUCUCCUUCAUUUUUAAACAUAGGCAUGAAUGGACCAUCAUAAACAACUUCCCAAAUUUCAUAAUCUAAAACUUGUAAAUAGAUUCUCAUCCUAGUUUUCCAAUAUGCAUAGUCAUUACCAUCAAAGAACGGUGGUCCAGUUGUGGAUUGUCCUUCUCUAAAGGUUGAGUCAUUUAGGGUUGCCAUUGAUCUUUUACUCUAGAUGAUUACGUCCUAACAAGAGAAUAAGGCUCUAAUACCAAAUGAAAUUCUAGUAAUGCAACCCAAGAGGGGGGUGAAUUGGGAUUCUAAAAAUUAUACAAUUUUUAAAGCAAAACUCAAUGCAAAUAUAAAACGAAUUUAAAGCAAUAACAAAUAAAUUUAUCACAAUAUAAAAAGAUAAGGUAAGAGAGAUUCAAACAUGAGGAUUUUUACGUGGUUUGGCCAACCUCGCCCACGUCCACGCCUCCAAGCUUUCCGGGCUUGAGGAUUCCGCUAAGCAAGCCACCAAGGCUUCAAAUGCUUACACUUGACUCCUAAGAUGUCAAUAAACCUUUACAACAAGAGAUUAUCCCCAAUCUCUUAACCCAAGUGUAUCCCAACACUUACAAUCACUCAAUUUGAUUUUAAAGAAUGUUACAAAAUAAAUUUCUCUCACACUGUGUUUGAUUACAAAUGAAGAUUCAAAGUGUGAGUAAAUGAGAUGAAUACAAGAAUUUAAGGCUCAAUGAAUGUUGUAUGCUCAAGACUUUAUUCAAUAAUAAUUGUUGCAAUCGUUUUAGUUUGAAUUUGAUUGAGCUUAUUUAUUGUUGGAGCUGAAAACUAGCCGUUAUUGACUUUCUGCACACUGUCGGAUUGCCGUUAUCUAGAUGUCGGAUCGCUGUUUUAAAUAGUCAAUAUGACCGUUGGGCUGAAUUUUCAAAUUGUCGGAUUGUCGUUAUAUCUAGAUGUUGAUCGCCGUUAGUGUCCAGAGACUAAUCUUCAAUUCUGUGCAAUGUCGGUUAGCCGUUAUCAAGUUGUCGGAUUGCCGUUAGUGUCCGGAGGCUAAUCUUCAGUUCUGUUCGAUGUCGGCGAGCCAUUAUCAAGAUGUCGGAUCGUCAUUUUCUACAGUAACUACUACAAUGAACUAUUUUACAAAAUAAUAGUUUGACCCCAAAACUUCAUAAAAUUAUACUAUGACCCAACACUUUAUAAAACUUGUCAAAUAGAUCCAUUUACAAGAUUUGAAACAAUAUUUAUAUCAAAAUUCUCAAAGCUUUUUCAAUUGAAACCAUUAACAUGAGAAUAACCAAAAAUAUUUCCAUAAAAUAUAAAGUCUUUAUAAAGUGAGAGUGAUGAUUUAAAAGUAUAUGAAAAUUAUUUUGAGCUUUUAAAAGAUUAAUCAAUCUUAAUCAAGUUUGUUAUCAUCAAAAUCAAUAGUAAAAAAAUAUUUAUGGUCACAACUUUUAUACGUUGGCAAAAAAUAUUACAUUUCUUGUUGACAAGCCUCAAUGUUGUUAAUGUUCUUACAAUAUCAAAGCCUGAAGAACGUGAGAAUGAGAAACUCGAGUGUGGCAAAAGUGGAAGCAAGAUGUCUACGUGUGCAUAAGACACAUUUACAAUGCCGUGUCUAGUACUUUGUUUUCAUAAGUACCACAACAAAAUCCACUGCAAAAGAAAUAUAAGACUUAUUGGAGUCUAAGUACAUGAUGGAAGACACCACAAGUAAGAAAUUCUUGACUUCUAAUUUUUUUUAGUUUUAAAAAGAUUGACAAUAGACUUGUGAUGGAACAAUAUAAUGAGAUUUUUUGCAUUCUUGAUCAAUUCAACCAACACAACAUGAAAAGUAAUAAGUUUAUUAUUAUUUCUUCAAUUAUUGAUAAACUUCCCCCCUCUUGAAAAGACCAUGAAAAAAGUCUUAAAUAUAACAAAGAGGAAGUUAGCCUGGAAGGCUUGGCAAAGUCUUCAUAUUGAAUAGAAACUUAAACUUAAUAGUCUUGAGGAACAGACUGCUAUGUCCUCUGAAAUUAAUGUUGUGGAGGAGGAGAAGGAGCUUAAGCAGUCUAAUACCCGCAUUAAUAACAAAAGCAAAAAUUUGAUUCGAAAUAGAAUCAAACCAACAAAAUAAAAAAAUAAAAAAAGAAGUGUACAUGCCACCAAUGUGAAAAGCCUAGCCACUUUAAAAAAGACUGACAAAGCAAAAGUUUGAUUCCAAAUAGAAUCAAACCAAUAGAAUAAAAAAAGAAGUGUACAUGUGACCAAUGUGAAAAGCCUAGCCACUUUAAAAAUGACUGUCAGCUUCUUAAGAAAGAAAAGAAGUGCUCGAACACAAAUUUUGUGGACAAAAUUUAUGGCCAUAAUAUCUUAGAUUAAUAUUCUCGAACAUGAUAAUGCAUGGUGAAUAGAUUCCGGUGCAAUCAAGUAUGUGUACAAGAAUCGUAGGCUUUUCACAUCUUACAAAGCAAUGGAUGAUUGAAGUGUUCUUUAGAUGGGAAAUUCCUCCAUUGCAACAAUUAGAGGGAAUGUGCAACUAGAGUUCACUUGUGGAAAAAUGUUAACUCAUAUUGAUGUUUAUCAUGUAUCUAAAGGUAGGAAAAAUCUUGUAUCUAUAUUAGGGUGGUACCGUAUUUGAGUCAAAGCAAUUUUGCAUUGUUUAAGGGUGGUACCUUUAUUGGGAAAGGAUACAUGUAUUUGGGAAUGUUCAAGCUCAAUAUUAAUAAAAUUAAUGUUUCUUCUUCUUACAUGAUUGACUCAUUAUCUUUGUAGCAUAUUCAUUUAGGACAUGUGAAUAUUAAAAGAUUGCAUGUUAUAGCUAAUUUAGAAUUAAUUUUUAAACAUGGAAAUAAUGAUACUACAUCACUCUCUUCUCAACCCUCUUUCCUGAAACAAAUUUUAUUGUAUAACAUCUAUACUAUAUCCAUCAAAUAUCUAAUAUAUUGUUUACUAUAGGAAUAAUAUAUUGAUUCUCGAAAAGCUUGCAACAUUCAAAAGUAUUCAAGUUUGCUUUCAUCGAUGAAAAACACAUGCAAACAAAUAAGUGAUUCAUUGUAUCCUGGAGGUAUAUAUGUUUAGCCUAUAUGCAUCACUUAAUUGGUGGGACAAAUGAUAUCUUUAGGAAAGCGACAUUUGUAAUGUGCCUUGAAGUACACAUUAAUUUUCUACAAUUUACCUAUUACUAUGAUUUUAUUAUACUCAGGGACGUAGCUGUUGUGCAAAUUUUAAUGUACUCGCAAGCGCACGAAUCUAUCGUAGUAUAGACUAAUGGUGACGAGUGUCGAUCCCACGAGGAGGUGGAUUUUAAUUAUAUGUAGAAUUAAUUUUGUAAAUGGGUGGUUGGAAUUGUGGUGGAAGUGAUUUAAAUUAUCCUAAAAUUGGAAUUGAAAUGGCGAUAAUAAAUUCUAAAAUUGGAAUUGCAAUGACGAGAGUAAAUUGAAGAGAAAUCUAUUGAAAUAACGUACUUGGGUAUCUGGAUCCGUAUCAACAUGCAUCAUGGGCUAAAUAAUCUGUAUUAAUGCCAAUUAAAUCAUGAGGGGGGAAUCCACACCUCAUGAACCACGCUCUAAUCAAUAUGGUGCUAAGGGCUUAUCGUGCCAAAUAAUAAUAACCUUAUACUAGAGAGCCGGUGUAACCAAGGCGGUAUCUAGACAAGAUCAGUAUUAUUUGUCAACGAUAAGUCAAAUCAUCCACAAAAACUAGAGGGGAAAAGAAAAUAAAUUUACCAAAUAAAGCCCAUGACACAUGUUGAGACUUCACCUUCAACCCAAGCUUGAAAGCAAACUAGCCACUCAUAAUUGAACUAGGGGCAAAAUAGGAAUUUAUUAAAAUACAAAGAAAAUACAAGAUGGAGAGAGAAUUACAGAAAAUGGAUCCCAAAAAUGGAUUCAGAGAUAUCCAAUUAGGGGGAGAGGCCCCCUUUUUAUAGAUACAUGGAGUAAAUCAUGGCCAUCGGAUUAAAAACAGUUUAGACGCUCAGGAUUGUGCCACGUCAUCAGUCAACAGUCCACGGUUUGACCACGCGGAUGAACAGUAACACGGUUUGACCGGACUUUGAACAGUAACGCGGUUUGACCCGGAUGAACAGUAACGCGGUUUGAUUGAAAAUAAUCCUGUGUGAUGCAUGUACCGUACGCGAGAUUUUUCAUCCACUGAUAUGCUGCCACGUCACCAUCAACAGUACAUAAGAAUUUUAGCCCAACAGGAUCGUGACACCUCAUCAGUCAAUGCCACAUCAUCGGUCAAUGCCACGUCAUCGAUCCGUCUAUGUGAACAGUGUUGUGAACAGUAACGUAGUUAGUACCGUACACGUGAAUAGUACCGUACAUAUGAAUAGUGCCAUUUUUCCUUUUAUGCUCCUCUUAAGGUUUUCGACUGUCCUGAGUUCAAAAGUGAUGUCCGUUUUGCCGUCUGAUCUCUCCUUUAUUGUGAAAUGACUAUAAUGCCCCUAAAAUACAUAAAUUACUUAAUUAAAAUAAAACACACGUAAUUAAAUCACAAGAAUGUUAAAUACAUAAAAGUAACGGUUGUUAGUAAGACUUGAAAUGUAAAAUGACGGUUUUCUCCUUUAUAAAUAUGCAUUUUAUAACACUCAACACACCCCCCAACCAGCUUAUUGUUAGUCCCUAGCAAAUAAAGCGAAAACAAAAUUCAAAUUCAAAAUGAUUUUUUUUUUUUUUUUGAAACACUCGUAUUUAUUCAAUCAUAUUAAUGAUAGCAAUCAAAUAAAAGUAUAAGCAUUAUCUCCAGUCUAAAGCAACAUCACACCCACAUCAACCAUCCACAUGAAUCGGCCCAGUAGACUUUGUUAUAGCUACUUUCAAGAAUGACAUGUCAAACCCCAAAAUCUCACUGGAAGUAGUGACACUCUCACAAAGAAAUUAAAACCCAAUAAACAUAGUCACUCCAAUGAAUGGUAAUUGAGAAAGAAAAUAAUAAAGAAAUGAUAUCACAUGCUCUCACCAAGAUGAAAUAAAUAUGCCCUCAGCUUAGAAAUAAUACGAUCUCAAGUCAAAUAAAAUGUUAGUCAACCCACUUUAUUUAUCUUUUUUUUUUUUUUUUUUAUGCAUCACUACAUCUUUUUAGCCCAUAUAACUAGCUUCUACUUCAAACUAUAGUUCCCUAAAAUCAAGAAGGACUUUUAUUAGGACGUAACGUAGGCUAGGGAUAUGGCUAACAAAGAAAGGAAAUAAGGAAAACAAAGUGUAUGUUUGAGAAAAAUGCAGAAUUUUUUUUUUUUUUUUUUUUUUUUGGAAGUUGCAAGGUGGAUUUCACCUAUUAUUGUUAUUUUUAUUCUUUUGAAACAACAACUUUUGUUUUGUUUUUUUUUUCUUUUUGCUUUUAUUUGGCAUAACUUCACUGAACAACAUAAUUAUUUACAUUUUCUCAAACAUAAAUAGGUGAUGGAACUUAAAAGACAUUGGGUAAUACUCCAAAUCGGAGUGGGUCAAGAUGAUAAGUUGACAAAGAAAAGGUUUUUGUUCUUUUUUUUUUUUUUUUUUUUUAAAGGCUCAAAAGGGGUAACUAUGGAUAUUUAAUAAAAUGGAUGGCUAGAAAGGCUCAAACGGAUCAAAGAUGGCCUUUCCAUCGUCUUCUAGGGCUCUAAAUAAUUAUCCAUAUCUACUAGUUAGAUGGGCCUCCCAAUGUAGCAACACACAUUUUUUUCUUUUUCUUUUUUUCUUUUUUUUUAAUUUUACCAUUUUUUUUUAAAGGGUUAACUUAAAAGAAAUCUAGAGAUCGUGUAUAAAAUAAUAAACUGCUAAGCUGUAUAGAGAAUGGGCAAAAGGGUUACUCUCCAAGAAAAUGAUAGGCUCAACAACUCACUUGGCACUUAUUUAUGACAUGUUCAUUCCUUCAAGCAACUCAUAUUUGUCUCCGACAUCAACAUGUAAAGUAGCAAACAUAGCGUAACAUCACUUAAGUCCAAAGAUAAUACAAAUACUAAAAUUUGAAAUUAAUCAUGUCAUCCAAUGUUAAAACAAAUAACACAAUUUUUUUUUUUUUUUUAAACAACAUUCUACCCCCCAACCUAUUCUAAGCAUGAAAGGAAAAUAUGCAUGCAGAAAUGUGAAAAUGAUGCAUAAAAACUAAUUAGAAAAGUUACACGUAAAAUGAUAGAAAACGAAAAUGAUUUUUUUUUUUUUUAAAGAAGAUGCGUUUCUAGAGGAACUACACUCCAUAUUCAGCCAUCUUCGACUCAAAAGUUGGAAAAUGUAUAUUUAUAGAGGAGAAAUUAAAAAGAAGAAAAAUAAACAUAAACACAUAAUAAAGAAAAAGAAAAUGUCUGAAAUUUUUUUUUUCUUUUUUUUUUUUAGUUAUUUUUUUAUUAUUAUUUUUUUUAAACGAUGAAGAUGCGUUUCUAGAGUCACUACACUCCAUAUUCAGCCAUCUUCAACACAAAAAGUUAGCAACAGUUAGUUUCUACAACAAAAAAUUAGUAAAAACUUAACCAAAAUUUCACAAUUGUCGACUAUUCCCUCCCCCCAACCAGAACGAAACAUUGUCCUCAAUGUUUUAAAGGAAAGAAGUAGAGUUUAGAAGACAUCACCUGGGUGGUGCAACACAGAAGAAAAUAUUUACAGGCGGAGAGUUAAAUCUAAUUUGUACUUCUUACUGCGGCUACUGUUAUCAUCAUUAUUUGGUCGCUCCAACACAAAGGUCCAGGGGUCUGGCUCCGGUUUAUAAGCUUGUAACAUAUCAAGUAGCUCAUUAGCAGUGUGAGCACAAAUAAAGAGUUUUUUCACAUUAGAAGGAAUGAAAUAGUUUUUUAUUGCAUGGUUAAGAAAUGCGAUAAAGCCAUCAUAAAAGUUAUUGACAUUUAACAAACCGAUGGGUUUCUGGUGAAUGUGUAGAUGGGCCCAAGAUGCUAGUGUCAUAAGUGCCUCUAGUGUUGCAAGAUCUCCUGGAAGGAAAAUAAAAGCAUCAGCAUGAUUAAGCAUUUCAGUUAUUCUUUCUUGCAUACCUGAGACGACUAACUCUUCUCCAGUUGAUGAGUCAGACGAACUGCCCAAUGGUUUUAGGACUCUUGGGAUGAUGCCUAACACUUGACUUCCUCUGAUAAAAGCUGCUUCUGAGACCAUUUUUGAUAACCCCCGGUUACCUCCUCCAUACACCAAAUGUAAUUUUCUCGCUGCUAUGCUUCGACCAAGAUCUAUGGCUGCCUCCACGAACUCUUUAUGUUUGCCAUAGGUAAAUCCAGAAAGCACACAAAUGUUCUUGAAUUGUCUAUUGGGAGUAGCUGCCAUUGUGAUACUUCUCAAAAAUAAUUUGUGAGUGCUUGACAAAAAGUAAAUCACAUUUAAGAAUCUUGGUGACAGUGGAUCACAGCUGUGAAUGAGGUAACAUGUCAGUGUCAAAUAACGCGUAAAGCACGUGGCUCGCGAGUCAAAAAGGAAAUAGUAAAAAGGAAACAGCAAACAGUAACCAAAUUAUUAAAGACAAUAAUGCAAACAAUAAAAAAACAGUGAAAUGAAAUAAAAUAACAGUAAAGUAAAAGGAUAUUUACACGUAGUUGCGACUGUGGCUCACAUCUUCCUCUGGUUUUACGUCCAGAAACGGCUUGAACGCCCUCUAUGGGUCGAGGAUGGGCUUCCCAUCCAGUUUUCUUAUAAACUGGCAAACAGGGUCGUUUAUAGUCAGAUUCCCGAGACUAUAUUGUGCAUGCUCUUUCUGGAAUAAUGGUCAUAACCGGAGAAUCGCUCCUUGCACAUAUCCACUGGGAUGCGUUUCAAGAGACAAAAGGAUAUCAUCCAAUGACUCCUUAUUCAAGCCAUCCCUAAUGAAUUGAAUCUUAUCUUCCCUGUUAUCAGACAUCAUUCCUAAAGAACAUGGGUUUUUAUUGCAACUCAUUCUGGCACACUUAUGACAAGCAACAGAAAUUCUUCGAGCUAGUCAUUUUCUUGCAUAAUUUCCUUUACCACAACCAGGCAUGUAUGCAAUAAAUUUUGGAGGUAACUCACCUGCCGAUCGUACUUUAGCCUCGAUUAACCAACGGAUGUCAGCAGGUAUGUUAUUCCUCAUGAGCAAUCGGAUGCGUUCAGACCGGGCUUUAUAGAUUGUAAGGAGGGCAUUCUGAGGAAGUGAAGGGAAUCGCUUGUGAAGUUUCGCUAGAAUCUCGUUUCUGUCCAUACCUUCGCCUCAGAAUAUCAGUUAUUAUGGGAAACUGAAGUAACCGACUUGAUUGUCACGGAGUACCGUUAUCCGCCACUUCACCAGGGUAACAAACUAAAGCACACAAACAGAAAAACAAAUUAAAACACACAAAGAAAAUUAAAAUCGUCCUCUUAUUGAAUUUACCUCAAGCUCCAACUAGAUGUCGUAAACACUUCUCUCAAUAUCUCGGAGUUGGCUUUCUAGAUUCUCAACAUAGGCUACUAACUCUGGUGGUUGUAGAGCCCAAAUGCGUUGUGUUUUACAAAACUGAAUCUGCUUUUUGAGAUGAGUUUUGACACGUUGAAGUGGUUUAAGAAUGUUCAGGAGGAACGGUCUAAGUAAGGUACUCAUGAUUAAAAAUGAUAAAAGAAAACUUAAUAGUUAAACAAACACACUUAUGCAAAAAUAAUUUCAAUUAGCAGAAGAAUAAUAAAAAGAAAGAAAGAAAAAUCAAAUCAACGAAAAGAAAAAACAAAUCAAUUCAAAUCUGGUGGGUCACUCAAAUUUAUUUCGGUGUCUUCUCCAUGUGGUUGGUAUUCUAGAUAUGGCUUUAAUCUUUGACCAUUAACUUUAAACGUGACACCGUUCUUUGGGUCCUUAAUUUCAAUUGCCCCAUGUGGAAAAACAGUAUGUACAAUAAAUGGGCCAGACCAACGAGAGCGUAACUUACCUGGGAAUAGGUGCAAGCGAGAAUUGAAUAAAAGCACUUUCUGACCUGGAGUGAUCGAUUUUCUCAUAAUUUGCUUAUCAUGGAAGACUUUCAUUCGUUGCUUGUAAAUCUUGGCAUUUUCGUAUGCAUCAUUGCGAAUUUCUUCAAGUUCUGCCAGCUGUAAUCUUCUUUCUGAGCUGGCUUGCUGCAUGUCAAAAUUGAAUUUCUUGAUGGCCCAAUAUGCACGAUGCUCUAGUUCCACAGGUAGGUGGCAAGCUUUUCCAUACACUAGCCUAUAGGGUGACAUCCCAAUCGGGGUCUUGAAAGUCGUUCUAUAUGCCCAUAAUGCAUCAUCAAGUCUUAAUGACCAAUCUUUUCUGUCUGGCCUCACCGUUUUUUCUAAUAUGUGCUUGAUUUCUCGAUUGGAGAUCUCAACUUGGCCACUGGUUUGCGGAUGAUAUGGGGUCGCCACUUUGUGUGUGAUUGAAUACUUUGUCAAAAGUGCUUUAAAUGCUUUGUUACAAAAGUGGGCACCACCAUCACUGAUUAUCGCUCGAGGGAAUCCAAAGCGUGAAACAAUGUUGCUUUUCAAAAAUCCUAUCACCACUUUGUGAUCAUUGGUCCUACAUGGAAUUGCUUCUACCCAUUUCGAUACAUAGUCAACAGCAACCAAUAUGUAUUGAUGGCCAAAAGAAGGGGGAAAGGGUCCCAUGAAGUCGAUACCCCAUACGUCAAAAAUCUCAACCACUAAAAUUGGAUUUAAUGGCAUCAUGUUCCUUCGUGUAAUGCUCCCCAUUCUUUGACACCUAUCACAUGAAGAACAAAAAGUGUAAGCAUCUCGAAAUAUAGUUGGCCAAUAGAAACCACAUUGUAAAACUUUAGUCGCUGUUUUCUUAGAACUAAAAUGGCCUCCACAAGCUUGUUCAUGGCAGAAUGAAAGGAUAUUCUGAAUUUCACUUUCUGGGACACAUCGUCUAACAAUUUGGUCUGCACAAUACUUGAACAAAUACGGGUCAUCCCAAAAGAAAUUCUUUAUUUCUGCAAAGAAUUUAGCCUUGUCUUGCUUGGUCCAAUGCUCUGGAAAUUUACCUGUAACAAGAUAAUUAACUAUAUCAGCAUACCAAGGUAAUACUUCCACAUUCAUCAAUUGUUCAUCUGGGAAUGACUCAUUUAAUGGUAAUGGCUCUGUAAUUGUGUCAAAAUGGAGACGAGAGAGAUGAUCCGCCACAACAUUUUCUGUGCCUUUUUUAUCUUUGAAUUCCAAGUCAAAUUCCUGCAAAAGUAACACCCAACGAAUUAGUCUAGCUUUUGCAUCUUUCUUUGUGAGAAGAUAUUUAAGAGCAGCAUGAUCUGUAAAUAUAAUUAUUUUACAACCAAUGAGAUAAGAUCGAAAUUUUUCCAAUGCAAACACUACUGCUAGCAUUUCUUUUUCAGUAGUUGAAUAGUUCAACUGUGCAUCAUUCAAUGUCAUACUAGCAUAGUAAAUAACAUGAGGAAUUCGAUCAACUCUUUGUCCUAAAACUGCUCCUACUGCAUAAUCAGAUGCAUCACACAUGAGCUCAAAUGGUAAGUUCCAGUUUGGGGCCUGAAUGAUGGGUGAUGAUGUCAACAACUGCUUUAAUUUUUCAAAAGCCAUAAGACAUGAAUCAUUAAAGAUAAAAGGUACAUCCUUAGCAAGUAAAUUGCAUAAGAGUCUAGAAACUUUGCUAAAAUCUUUAAUGAAACGUCUAUAGAAACCAGCAUGUCCAAGGAAGGAUCUUACUUCUCUGACUGUUUUAGGUGGAGGAAGAUUAGAAAUGAGAUCCACCUUGGCUUUGUCAACCUCAAUACCUUUGCUCGAAAUGAUGUGACCGAGAACAAUACCUUGUUUUACCAUAAAAUGACACUUCUCCCAAUUCAAGACUAAGUUCUUCUCGAUACAUCUCUGCAGAACUAGCGUUAGAUGAUGUAAACAUUGAUCAAACGAAUCACCAAAGACAGAAAAAUCAUCCAUAAAGACUUCAAGGAAUCGUUCAACCAUAUCAGAAAAAAUGCUCAACAUACAUCGUUGAAAUGUAGCAGGUGCAUUACAUAAUCCAAAUGGCAUUCUCCUAUAUGCAAAUGUGCCAAAAGGGCAAGUGAAAGUAGUUUUCUCUUGAUCUUUUGGUGCUAUGGGGAUCUGAUUAUAUCCUGAGUAGCCAUCUAGAAAGCAAUAAAAUUCAUGGCCUGCUAAUCUAUCAAGCAUUUGAUCAAUAAAUGGUAAAGGAAAAUGGUCUUUACGUGUGACAGAAUUCAACUUUCUAUAAUCAAUGCAUACACGUCAUCCUGUAGUUACUCUAGUUGGUAUCAAUUCAUUAUCAGCAUUGGUAACUACUGUGACUCCUGACUUUUUGGGGACAACUUGUACAGGACUGACCCAUGAACUAUCAGAAAUUGGGUAAAUGAUACCUGCGUCUAAUAGCUUAAGGACUUCUGUUCUAACAACUUCUUUCAUAUUAGGAUUUAACCGACGUUGCAUUUCCCUAGUAGAUUUAGCAUUUUCAUCAAGGUGAAUGUAAUGCAUGCAUUCUGCAGGGUUUAUACCUUUUAUGUCUGCUAUGGUCCAUCCUAAUGCUCCUUUGUGCUCUUUUAAAACAUCCAACAACUUACCUUUUUGUUCGUCGUUUAGGGAUGAUGAGAUGAUUACCGGUAGAGUGCUUUCUUCUCCCAAAAAUGCAUAUUCCAAUGUGUUGGGUAAUGGUUUGAGCUCGAGUUUCGGUGGUGAUUCUGAUGAUGGGAUGAGUUUCUUCUCUGAUGGUGCUAGUUGUUCAACUCUUGACUUCCAUUUAUUAGUGUCCAUGGAUGGUGUUGAGUCAAGCAGGGCGUUGACCUCAUCAACUGAUCUGUCAAUAUCAAAAUCAAAACCAAAGUGAGUUAAACAUGUUUUUAAAGGAUCAUCACUAAGGUUUGAAAGAAAAGUAUUAUCAACUAUUGUUUCUAUUAAAUCCACAUCAACAAUUCCAUCAUCUGCACUGUGAGGUUGUUUGGCAAUGUUGAAAAUGUUUAGCUCCAUAGUCAUGUUGCCAAAGGACAACUGCAUAUUUCCAGUCCUGCAUUGAAUAUGAGCAUCUGCAGUUGCCAAGAAAGGUCGGCCUAGAAUAAUGGGGAUGUGCUUCCUUGAGUCCUGUAUUGGUUGAGUGUCAAUUACAAUGAAAUCAACAGGAAAAUAAAACUUGUCUACCUGGAUAAGCACGUCCUCCACAAUACCACGAGGUAUUUUCGUGGACCGAUCUGCAAGCUGUAACACCACUGGAGUUGGGUGUAAUUCUCCCAGUCCAAGUUUCACAAACACAGAGUAAGGCAACAAAUUUACACUAGCUCCUAAAUCCAACAAAGCAUUCUCAAUUGUGUGGUUCCCUAUACUACAUGAGAUAGUGGGGGAGCCUGGGUCUUUGCAUUUUAGAGGAAUUUUAUGUUGGAGUAUAGAACUAACGUUUUCUGUUAAAAAUGCCUUCUUUUGAACAUGCAUGUUUCUCUUUUUAGUACACAAAUCUUUAAGAAACUUGGCAUAAGAUGGAACUUGUUUAAUAGCAUCAAGCAAAGGGAUAUUAACACUUACCUGUUUGAAGAUUUCGAGAAUCUCACCUGUGGAUUUUCCCUUCUUUCCUUUCGCUAACCUCUGAGGAAAUGGAGCUUUCGGAACAUAUUCUCGUGGGUUGGUUUCUUCUUUUUCCUCCGGUGGUGAGUCCUCAACAUUCACAGGUACAAUUUGAUUUUCUUUUGUCACCGGCAUCUCCACUUUGUUGUCGACUUCCUUUCCUUUUCGCAAGGUCAUGACUGCUUUGACCUCUCCAUGCUGUUGUGGUGAACUGGUACUUGCUUCAUGUACUCCUUUAGGAUUAGGCACUGGUUGACUUGGAAAUUUACCUUUCUCAACAGUAAUUGCCAAGGUCUGAACUGAAGAAGCGAGCUGUCCCACCAUCUUCUCGAGGCUUGAAACUGAUUGGGCUUGUGAAUUGAAGCCUGCUCUCAACUCAUUUCGUAGUCCAUCAAUGGUGCGAUUCUGUUGCUCAAUCGUGGAAUGAGUAAGAUUCUUGAGAUUCUGGAAUGAAUCCUCCCAUGGUCUGGGUUGAGAAUAGUUCUGGUUUUGAUUGUAUGGUCUAAAUGGUGGCUGAGAGGCUUGAGGAUUUUGUGGAAUUGGUGGAGCUGGAGCUGCUGGUCCAUUCUGUUGGAAUCCUUGAGACCAUGAAAAAUUGGGGUGGUCUCUCCAUCCAGGGUUAUAUGUGUUGGAGUAUGGGUUGUAAUUCGAUGGUUUUCUGAUUACACCUAUGGCAUUGGCUUGAUCGGAGUAUGAGUCAUGGUCAUGUGGUUCUGUUGAUUUAGCAGUCGACAACGAUGCUAUUUGUCGAGCAAGACCUUCAACCAUCUCCUUGACUUCUUUGAUUCCCGAAGUUGACUCGCCAAUUUGAACCUCAUUUACUCCCUUAAUUCUUCUAGUAUUCCUGAUUGAUCGACUCCGUUGUUGGGAAUUAUCCGCUUGUCGCUGGAAGAAUUCCCAAAUCUCUGUUGCGCUUUUUGACAUUAGCUCUCCUCCACUUGUUGCCAUUAGCCAUUCUUGCACAUUUGGCAAUAAUCCCUCCAAAAAGUAUUGGCAUUGGUGCCAUUUCUCAUACCCAUGAUGUGGACACUUCAAGAGUAGCCCAUUGAAUCGCUCCCAAGUUUCGAAAAACUGCUCGUCCUCUCUUUGUGUAAACUCUGAAAUUUCCCUAUGAAUAGAAUUGGUUUUAUGCACUGGGAAAUAUUUAUUUAGAAACUUUGUAACCGUUUGUUCCCAUGAUGCAAUGCUAUUAGCAGGCAAAGUAUUUAACCAUGAACGAGCUCUAUCCUUUAAAGAAAAUGGGAAUAAUCUAAGUUUAACAUCAUCGUCUGAAAAAUUUUCAUAUUUAAAAGUUUGACAAAUGGCAUGAAAAUCAUUCAGAUGAUUAUAUGGGUCCUCAUUUUCUAAGCCAUAGAAUGUGGGGAGACAAUUUAGCACACUAGGUUUUAGUUCAAAACUCCUAGCAGCUACAUUUGGGUAUCUUAUGCAUGAUGUGCUCAAAUUAGCUAAGGGACUAAAAUAGUCUUUAAAUGGCCUCUCCUGUGGUGCUUUUAAAUCCAUUUCAAAUUUAACGUGCUUGUGUGUGCGAAGUGUUUUUUCUAAUUCAAGGUCUAUAGGUUCAAGAUUAGGUAAUAAAGACCUACGACCAUGCAUACAAAAUAAAUAAAAUAAAAAUAAAGAUGGAAAAACAAAUAAAAAUAAAGAAGAGACAGAAAUUACAAUACUAACCUUAUUGCGCUAUUACAACCUUACUAUAAAAAUACACAAAAAUAAAUACGUGAAAUAAAUUAACUAAAAAUUAAAUUAAUAAAAUAAACAAAAAUUACAAAGAAAAAAAUAAAUUGAAAAUUAAAUUACAGAAUUUUAAAGAAGAGAAAAAGAAAAGAAAUACUAACCUUUAAAUGUAGAUUUACUUUUUUUUUUCUUUUUUUUCUUUUUAAUAAAAAAAAAUACAAGAAAACAAAUAAAAGAAAUUAUUCACAAAAAUUAAUUCUAUGAAUUAAAAUUACUUACCUCCCCGGCAACGGCGCCAAAAACUUGUUGUGCAAAUUUUAAUGUACUCGCAAGCGCACGAAUCUAUCGUAGUAUAGACUAAUGGUGACGAGUGUCGAUCCCACGAGGAGGUGGAUUUUAAUUAUAUGUAGAAUUAAUUUUGUAAAUGGGUGGUUGGAAUUGUGGUGGAAGUGAUUUAAAUUAUCCUAAAAUUGGAAUUGAAAUGGCGAUAAUAAAUUCUAAAAUUGGAAUUGCAAUGACGAGAGUAAAUUGAAGAGAAAUCUAUUGAAAUAACGUACUUGGGUAUCUGGAUCCGUAUCAACAUGCAUCAUGGGCUAAAUAAUCCGUAUUAAUGCCAAUUAAAUCAUGAGGGGGGAAUCCACACCUCAUGAACCACGCUCUAAUCAAUAUGGUGCUAAGGGCUUAUCGUGCCAAAUAAUAAUAACCUUAUACUAGAGAGCCGGUGUAACCAAGGCGGUAUCUAGACAAGAUCAGUAUUAUUUGUCGACGAUAAGUCAAAUCAUCCACAAAAACUAGAGGGGAAAAGAAAAUAAAUUUACCAAAUAAAGCCCAUGACACAUGUUGAGACUUCACCUUCAACCCAAGCUUGAAAGAAAACUAGCCACUCAUAAUUGAACUAGGGGCAAAAUAGGAAUUUAUUAAAAUACAAAGAAAAUACAAGAUGGAGAGAGAAUUACAGAAAAUGGAUCCCAAAAAUGGAUUCAGAGAUAUCCAAUUAGGGGGGAGAGGCCCCCUUUUUAUAGAUACAUGGAGUAAAUCAUGGCCAUCGGAUUAAAAACAGUUUAGACGCUCAGGAUUGUGCCGCGUCAUCAGUCAACAGUCCACGGUUUGACCACGCGGAUGAACAGUAACACGGUUUGACCCGACUUUGAACAGUAACGCGGUUUGACCCGGAUGAACAGUAACGCGGUUUGAUUGAAAAUAAUCCUGUGUGAUGCAUGUACCGUACGCGAUAUUUUUCAUCCACUGAUAUGCUGCCACGUCACCAUCAACAGUACAUAAGAAUUUUAGCCCAACAGGAUCGUGACACCUCAUCAGUCAAUGCCACAUCAUCGGUCAAUGCCACGUCAUCGAUCCGUCUAUGUGAACAGUGUUGUGAACAGUAACGUAGUUAGUACCGUACACGUGAAUAGUACCGUACAUAUGAAUAGUGCCAUUUUUCCUUUUAUGCUCCUCUUAAGGUUUUCGACUGUCCUGAGUUCAAAAGUAAUGUCCGUUUUGCCGUCUGAUCUCUCUUUUAUUGUGAAAUGACUAUAAUGCCCCUAAAAUACAUAAAUUACUUAAUUAAAAUAAAACACACGUAAUUAAAUCACAAGAAUGUUAAAUACAUAAAAGUAACGGUUGUUAGUAAGACUUGAAAUGUAAAAUGACGGUUUUCUCCUUUAUAAAUAUGCAUUUUCUAACACUCAACAGUAGCCAGGAUUUUGAUCGAGUCGGGGCAUAUUUGAAAUCAAAUAUGACUCAAAUGCGCGAUUGCUCAUAUGAUAAGUUCCUAUUUGAGAAACUGUAUUGUGGCCCCCAUAAACUCCAAAUGGGAACUUGCGACAUGUAUAAUUGUACUCCUUAUAGAGUGCGUCUGCAAGCAUCUAAUUGAAACCACAUUUAAAGUAUAAUACAUUUUUAAAAAUUUAGAUAGCAAUAUAUAACAUUACAACUAUAAUAUUCAUUGAUAAUAAAUUUAUUUAUUACAAUGGUUCUCCGUGAAAACUUCUCAAUGAGAUUUGAUGAGUUGAAAAUAAUGCAUUAUCAAUAUAAGCAAAAAUAUAUUUUUCAAUAUACAAGACUAGGCUAUUACUUAAUUUGCUCUUAAAAUCUUUUAAUAAUAACAAAAAUAUUCAUAUAUUGCAACACAAAGAAUAAAUAUGAAAUGCAUGAUAAAAUUAUAAAUUUUAAAAUUAGACAAAAGAUUAAUUAGAAAAUUAAAAAUUAAAAUUAGGUAGACUUACAACUUAUGGUUCAGUAUUGAAAGACUAAAUAAUUGAUUUUACUUGAAUAAAAAAUAAAAAGAUUAAAUACCAGUCCAUUAACCAUUAUACUAAUAUUUUGUUAUGAUUGUUUUUUAUUUUAAUAAUUGUUCUCGUGUAUUUAAUCAAGUUUCAUGAAAUGUUAAUAACUAAUUAAAUUAUUUAUAAUUAAAAAUUUAAACUGGGGAUAGUAUGAAAUAUUUUAAAAUUAUUGGAGUCGAUUUCAAAUUUUAAAAUUCAGUUGGGGCAUUUUUCAUAAAUAACAAAUAAAAUACAAAUUUUUAGUAUAAUUAUAAAAAAAAAUUUAAAAGCUAGCUGGGGCCUGUGCCCCACCUCGUCCCAUGCUGGCUCCGUCCCUGAUUAUACUUACAGAAUUGUAAACACAUUAAUUAAUUAUUAUAAAGUUUCACUUCCACCUUUAUUACUGCAAUUCUCUACAUUUGUCUUUCCCCACAAAUAUAUAUCCCAGCACUUAGUAGAUAUAUUAUUUUAUUAUAAAUAUCAAUAGAUUUUUAAUUGUAUAAUACAUACUUAUGAAAUUGUAUAGAGUAAUUUCGUUCAAUUAUAUUAAUCCGUUAUGAAUUUCAUCACAAAUUUAUAGGUGGCCAAUACCGUGCAAGUGAAAUUUCAGAUAAAAUCAUCUCCUAGCAAUUUUUUUUUUAUAUUUUUCAAUUUUGCUUUAACGUAUGGAUCCAUUUCUUGUCUAUAUGGCAGACAACUUUUAUUAUCAGGUAGGCAAAAUCAAAAGCCUUUAUGUCGUUAAUUUUAUUAUGCCAUGACAGACUCCAAGAUCUAAUUUAGAGAGCGACUCAAAUAAUGGUAAUUAGUAAUUCAUUAUAUCUGCGGCUAGCUAGAUACUUUGUUUGUGAAAAAAAAAAAAAAGAAUAAAAUCAGUUUCAUAAUGAUUUUAUUUACAAUAAAUACCAUACUAUGGUCCAUGACUUACCUCAUAUUACUAAGAAAAUAUGUGAAAGAUAAUUAAGGAUUAAAGCUUUCCACAAAGAUUUAUAAAAUUGCUUUUGAUAAAACUGUUCUGAUGAAAUGAAAUUAUAUGCAAUUACUAAGAAUUUAGUUAGCCUCUCAAUUAUCAGAACCCAGUAGUGCAUUUGAAAGGUGAGCAUCAGCAAAUGACUUGUCAAUUAAAAUGCUGAAAUUCACCCUAUAUGCAUUUGUGCUACUAGAUACGUCAUACGUUACCAUAAAUAGUGAUCAGCAUUUGUAAUAUCAAAUUUUUUGUUUUCAUGGUCUUACAAACAACAGGAAUAAAGAGCCAUGACACAAAAACUGGAAAAGAUAUAAUUAUUCUGCUUAUUGGCAGCUUGCGGUUCAUAAUUAAGACGUUCAGCAAGUUCAUGGGAGCCAUGUUUAUGAGCAUCCUCACGUGGAAGUUCUGUGACUGGAACAUGAUGCUUGCAAAUCUUUCCAAAUAUUCAGACAAACUAGAAAAGCCUAAUGUGCGAACCUCUUCGAAAGCUAUAUGUGGAAUUUGAUUCUUCCAUAUCUUUACAUAUUUCAGCUGGCAUGGAGCACCAUGCUUGCAAAUCCUUCUAUUUGAACAAUUACAUAGUUUGCUUUUGCUUCUUAGCUCAAACAACGCCGGAUCUUUGAUACCUGAGCAUCCUGGAUGGGCUGUGUUUGCAUGAAGCAACUGUUGGGGAAAAAUUAGGUUUUUAAAUUUUUUAUAAAACCUUAUGAAGAUCGCUCUCAUAUAAUACAUAAGAAUUUGUAUUCUAGAAAUCGUACCUUGAAAAUCUGAGUUGGCUUUUUCCGGUGAAGUGAUUUAGGCUCCUAGAUCACGAUCCGCCACCACCACUCCUGUUAGAUCACGAUCCGUCACCACCACGCUUGUUAGAUCACGAACUGUCACCAAUGAUCUUCCAGGUUAUGACUCAGGUUCGAUCUGCACUUGACGUGUGGGCGCCGUUAUCACUACCAAAGCAACUAGCACGAGAAAAUUUUUCUCUCAACAAUGGAGAGAAAAAUCUUUUUCUCUGAUUUGUAUAAAGUGGCUUCUUCUUUUCCUUUUUGGGAAAAUAAGCCUUAUAUAUCUCCCUUUAGUGAAAACCCUAGGCUCCAAGGAUUCCCCAAAAUAAAACUCACGUUACUUUUCAUUUAAUAGGAGACCCACCAUGUAAAAUAACAUAAGGCCCCUUACACAUAAGCUUAUUAAAUGGAGCCUCCCACUAAAUGAUAUAUUUAGGCUUUUGACCCAAAUAGCUAGUUAUCUUGCUUAUUAGUCCAGCAGUGGUGCAAUCAAUUAAAUGAGCUAACCCGGGGAUCAUUUGGGAACAUACAAUAGUGGCUACAAUAAUUAGGCCUGUAAUUAAACUAGCCUAAUUAUUUAAUUCCAAAUCUACUCCACUAAAAGAUUGGAACUGACUUCCAUAAUUGUAUGCUCGAAUAAUAAUUCGUCCCAAGCCACAUUGAUUUCUUUACUGCACAAUCCUUUGUACCACAUCGUUAAUUAAAUUGAUAUCUCAACUGUCCAAUCAAUUUAAUAACAUCUUAUUCCUUGAUCCUUACUGGUUUUCUCUAAUGAUCAUUUUCAACAUACUAAAUAUGUUGACACACUCUGGCCAGAGAAUUCUAUGAUCAAGUACCGAAAACCUAUCAAGAGAUGUGUUGUACAAAUUCUAUAUUGUUAAUCCAUAACUCCAAUACUCAUAAUUGCUCCCACCAAGAUACCGGGUAAUCUUGACCAUAAGGAUGUGUCGUGCCCAUUGGUAACUCAAAUGAAAUAACAAUUACAAUCAUGAAAUCAUAAUUAACUCAAGAUUAAGAUUACAGUAAAAUCAACGCCUAUGAGAUUUAAUAAGUCUGACAGUUAUUACAAAGUUAAUUAAAUCUCAUAUGUGAUCCUAUUCAAUGUAGUCGCACUACAUCAAUAAAUUCAUACAUGAUUAAGACAAAUCAUUCAAUGAAUUUAUUACAGUCUAUACCUAAAUAAAGUGUCCAACUUUAUUUAUCAACUGCGAACUAAAUUUAUUUAAUCAUAAGAUAACUUGUAUUUAUGUCUUAUGUGAAUCCACAUGGUGAUCACAUAAAUACAUAUAAUAUGAUUAAAUGGACUUUAAUACAAAUAUUAAUGCAAUUAAGAUAUUUGAAUAAAAUACCUCAUUUAUUUUAUUAAUCAGAAAAAUUGUUUAUUACAAUUAAAUAAACACAUAUGCUUUUAAAGAGCAUAUUUUCCCAACAAUCUCCCACUAGCUCUCAAAGCAUAUUUGGCAUCUCACGCAUGCCCAUGGAUUCUAAGUGCAAGUUAAAAGGUUUCCCAGGUAUGGCCUUAGUAAAAGGAUCUGCCAAGUUUUGCUGUGACGCAAUCUGAGUAACCUCCUCAUCACCUCUCUGCACUAUAUCCCUUAUAAGAUGAUACUUUCUCUCAAUAUGUUUUUGUUUCUUGUGGUUCCUUGGUUCCUUAGAUUGAGCUACCGCACCACUAUUAUCGCAAAAUAGUUUAAGGGGUGCAGUUACAGCAGGUACCACCUCAAGAUCUUGUAGGAACUUGCGGAGCCAUACAGCUUCUUUUGCAGCUUCGGAUGCAGCCACAUAUUCAGCUUCAGUUGUGGAGUCUGCGAUACAAGAUUGUUUCACACUCCUCCAACUAAUAGCUCCACUUCCCAAUGUAAACACAUAGCCGGAAGUUGAUUUUCUGGAAUCCUUAUCUGACAUAAAGUCAGAAUCAGUAUAACCCACUGGAAUGAGUUCAUCACCAGAAUACACAAGCAUAUAAUUUUUAGUUCUUUUCAGAUACUUCAUUAUAUGCUUGACCGCAGUCCAGUGUUCAGGUCCAGGAUUAGAUUGAUAUCUACUAACCAUCCCUACCGCAAAACAGAUGUCUGGCCUAGUGCAAAGCAUGGCAUACAUGAGACUUCCCACAGCUUCUGCAUAGGGAACUCGUCUCAUUCUCUCUAUCUCUUCAGAUGUUUUAGGUGAUUGAUCCUUAGAGAAUGUAAUUCCAUGUCUGAAUGGUAAUAAACCAGUCUUGGAAUUUUCCAUGCUAAAUCUAGCCAAUAUCUUAUCGAUAUAGACCGCUUGAGACAAGGCUAAAGUUUUAUUCUUCCGGUCUCGUAGUAACUUGAUACCAAGAAUAUAACUUGCCUCUCCUAGGUCUUUCAUAUCAAAUUGUUUUGCUAACCAACUCUUUAUUGUAGUCAAUACUCCUAUAUCGUUUCCAAUUAGGAGAAUAUCGUCUACAUAAAGAAUUAGGAAGGCUACAGAUUUUUCUUGAAUUUUCUUGUACACACAUGGUUCAUCAAUGUUCUGAAUGAAUCCAAACGAUUUAAUCGCUUGAUCAAAUCUGAUGUUCCAUGACCGGGAUGCUUGCUUCAAUCCAUAAAUGGAUUUCUGCAACUUACAUACCAUGUGUUCUUGGCCUUUUUGUAUAAAUCCAUCUGGUUGCUGCAUGUAGAUGUUUUCUUCAAGAUGCCCGUUAAGAAAGGCAGUCUUGACAUCCAUUUGCCAAAUUUCAUAAUCUAGCAUUGCAGCAAUUGAGAGCAGAAUCCUGAUGGAUUUAAGCAUAGCAACCGGAGAAAAAGUUUCCUCAUAAUCGAUUCCCUCUUUCUGAGUAAACCCUUUGGCUACUAAUCUUGCUUUAAAUGUUUCCACCCUUCCGUCUACUCCUCUUUUUCUCUUGUAGAUCCACUUGCAUCCUAUAGGUUUUACCCCAUUUGGUGCCUCUACAAGUUCCCAGACUUUAUUGGAAUACAUAGAUUCCAUUUCUUGAUUCAUGGCCUUUUUCCAAAAUUCAACAUCUCUAUCUAUUAGAGCUUCGUUGUAACUAGUGGGAUCUUGUACAUGUUCAUCUGAGAUAGCCGUAUAGGUUUCUCCCAAAAGCAUGUAUCUCGCAGGUAACCUAGUUACCCUCCCACUACGACGAGGUUCUAAAAGUGAUGGUUGUUCAGGGUUAAUCCUGUGUUGAUCAUCUGGUUGUUGCUGUUCUUUCUGUUCUGUAACAGGCAUUGAAAGCUGAGCAUCAACCUGAUCACCUGACAGUUCUUCAAGUAUUACCUUACUCUUAGGUUUGAAGUUAUUCAUAUAGUCUUCCUCAAGGGAAGUUAAAUGUGUGCUCACGAUCACUUUCCUAUCUUGAGGACUAUAAAAUAAACCUCCCCUUGUUCCUUUGGGAUACCCCACAAACAUACAAACCUCAGAACGUGAAUCCAUUUUGUCUGCCUUUGGUUUCAGCACAUGUGCUGAUGAUCCCCAAAUACGGACAUGUCGUAAACUUGGUUUGCGACCUGACCAUAAUUCUAUUGGGGUUUUAGGCACUGACUUAGAUGGAACUAAGUUCAAAAGGUAAACUGCAGUUUCCAGUGCUAGUCCCCAAAAAGAGAUUGGUAAUGACGAAUAACUAAGCAUAGAUCUCACCAUAUCCAAAAGAGUUCUAUUUCUUCUUUCAGCUACCCCAUUUUGUUGUGGUGUUCCCGGGGCAGUCAAUUGAGAUAUAAUCCCAUUUUCAACCAGAUACUCUUUGAAAUCUCCUGAGAGAAAUUCACCACCUCGAUCAGAUCGAAGUUUCUUUAUGUUCUUAUCUAAUUGCUUUUCUGUCUCAGCCCUAUACUCUUUGAAUUUCUCAAGAGCUUCAGACUUAUGACGCAUUAGAUAAACAUAACCGUAUCUUGAGUAAUCAUUAGUAAAAGUGAUGAAAUACUCAUAACCUCCUCGAGCUUGUACAUUGAUUGGUCCACAUACAUCUGUAUGUACCAAUUCAAGUGGUACUGUUGCACGUACUCCUUUGGCCGAGAAUGGCCUUUUGGUCAUUUUCCCUUCUAAACAGGAUUCACAGAGUGGCAAUGAUUCAUUUUCUAAUGGACCCAAGAGCCCAUCUUUGAUCAUUCUCUGUAUCCUAUUUUGGUUUAUAUGACCCAAGCGUAAAUGCCAGAGGUAACAUUGGUUGGAAGAAAUAUUUCUUUUCUUAGAUAAAUGUGCAUGCUCAUCAUUAUUUAUCACUGUGUCAUGCAUAUAAUGGAUCAUUGGACUUAAAUGAUAUAAAUUAUCUUCCAUUUUACCAGAACAAAUAAGUCUCUUAUUAUGAAAAAUAGAAACAGAGGAUCCAAAAUUUACAGUGUACCCUUGCUUUGACAAACAAGCUACUGAAAUUAAAUUCCUCUUAAUGUCUGGAACAUAAAGACAAUUAUUCAAAACUAAAGUCUCAUUAUUAAAAGAUAAUAAAACAGAUCCAGUCUUUACUGCUGACACGAACUGUCAUGUCCCUAACUGCAGCUUGACGCUUCCUUCACUUAUUUUCUUGGUUUCCUGAAACCAAUAAAGUGAAUUACAAAUAUGAUUAGUUGCUCCUGAAUCCAACACCCAAGUGUCAAUAGGAUUCUGAACUAAACAGGCCUCAAUUACAAAAAGAUUUCCCAUACCUGAUUUCACAAUCUUAGGGCAAUCCUUUUUCCAGUGACCUUUCUGUCCACACUUAAAGCAUUUGCCUUUCGGCUUGCCAUCUUGCUUGGUAGACGGUCUCUUUUUCCCAGCUUUCUUCUUACCUUUGCCUUUCGGUUUAGGCCCAGAAGAUGAACUUUUUUCAGUAAUAUUUAUGAUUCCCAGAGAUUUCUCAGCACGAUAGAUCUCUUCAGCAGAAUGGAGUUCGUUCAUCAAUUCAGUUAAGGUCAUGUUUCUUUUGUUCAUGUUAUAAUUGACCUUAAACUCCUUGAAUGUUUCUGGCAGAGAUUCUAGCACCAUGUCAAUCUUUGAGUUAUCAUCGAUUUGUGCUCCCUGAAUCUCAGCCUCAUUCAAAUAGUCCAUCAUUUUGAGGACAUGAUCACGAACUCUUGUGCCCUUCCCCAUUUUACUGUUCAUAAUUCCUUUCAGCGCUGCUUGUCUCGCAGAGCGAGUACUCUGCCCGAACAUCUGUUGGAGACUAUCCAUUAUUUCAGUGGCAGUCUCCAAGUUCUGAUGUUUGGUCUGCAGAAUAUUAGAAAUCGAGGCUAAAAUGUAACACUUUGCCAUUUCAUUGGCCUUUUGCCAUUUCUCAUAAAGCCUCCUCUGAUUUCUAUGAGCAUCAUCCGCUGGAACUGGGGGGCAUGGCUGGGUUAAGACAUAUUUAUAAUUUUCAGCAGUCAGGACAAUGAAUAGAUUUCUUUUCCAAUCUAUAUAGUUCUCUCCAGUGAGUUUGUUUUGACUCAGAAUAAUAGUAAGUGGGCUCAGGGAAGACAUUUUCUGAAAAAUAAAACAUCCAUGCAUAAAUAAUUUGAAAUAAUAUUCACAAUAAAUGACAAAAAUGCAUAAAACCAUAAAUGCAUUUUAAUUUAUUGUAACGAUAAUCUAGUUCCGUUUUGACAAGCUAUCCGGUGGGGAAGUCAUGUCUAUACUUACUAGACCCAAUUACCCAUUGGAUUAUUUACUUUCAUGUAGAGACAUGAUAAAUAAUUAUCGUUAUCCUUUUGGGCCUAAAUUUGUUAACAGAGCUUCGUUGGGAAGAUUAAUAACAAAUUUUAGUUGAGUGUAUAACCAUUGUUUCAAUCUAGAUAUUUUUCAUUUCAAUAGUCACCGUUGGGGUGAACAAUCGAUUGAAAAAUAUUUCAAUUUUAUCUUUGAAGAAGUUCAUCAAAUAAAAUAUCUAAUAAAUAUACCCUCCGAAGGGAGCAUCACCGUAUCAUGAAGUCGAGGUAUAUAUAUAAUUUUAUUAUUGAACUAACAAUGGAGCCCGUGGGAAAAUUAUCUUAAAUUUUCCCUCUCCCACUCAAUAUUUUAAAAUUGGUUUUUCCUUUUUAAAACAUACAUAUUGUUAAUUGCAUGCUUCCUAUAAUAUUAUCUAGAUGAUCUCAAAUAUUAUUAAGCAUAUGCAAAUUUCAAACAAUAUAAUGAAAUUCAUUAUUAAUGAAUGACAUGUAUCAUUAUGCAUAGAGUGGCACUACCUAUUCUAUAUGACAUGUCAUCAUGGCAUGUUAUCAUCCAAAACAUAAUAUAUAGAAAAACAAUUAAAUAAUCUUAAUUCAUGGCUUUCCUAAUAAUGAAAAAUACAUUAACCCUAAGCCUAAUCUUCAUUGGGCUUCUUGUCAAUGUCCAUCUUCCAUAAUCAUGUCUUUGUUAAUGGACUAGGAAAAAUUAGGCUUUUAAAUUUAUAAUUGGUCCAAUUUUAAUUUUGAAAGAAAAUAAAUAAAUAAUAAAAAAAAAAUUUUAUUAAAAUAAAACUUUUGGACCAAAAAUAAAUUUAAUGUGUUCAAUUUUAUCUAUGUAUUUUAAUCCAUUAAGCCCAAAUUUUAAUUGGGCCUAAAACUAGGAUUCUUUAAGUCCAAAACUGUUUUUGGAUUUAAACGCAAAAAAUUGAAACAUUUCUGCCCGAAAGAAAACUUAUGAAACCAUAGGGACCUUCAUGAUAAAAACCAUGAAACCCUAAAAUCAUAUUUUUCUUUCUUUCAUCUUCCCCAGCCGCCAUCUCCACAAAGGGCAGCGACUGUUCACGCAUCUCCGACGCCGAUUUGCUGCCGCCGUCACGCCAGAAACGCACCCAAACGACGCCCUCCACCAGCAGCCUGUGCACGCGCGUCACAAGUCCUCGCCCGCGCUGAUGGUAGCGGUGCUUGCAGCGUUGCAGCGCGCGCUGCAGCUGCAGCGUGUGCAGCGCCCGCUGCUAGCAGCGUGGCUGCUGGGCGCUGCGCGUGCAGCGCGCGCUGCUGGCAGCAUGUGCAGCGCGCGCUGCUGGCAGCAUGUGCUGCUGGCCGCGCGCUGCUCCCGCAGCAGCGUGUGCUGCUGGCCGCUCGCUGCUGCGUGCGCUGGUUCGUUGCUGCAGUUUCCAGCAAGUUUCCGCAAUUUUCCAGUGAUGAUUCUUCAUUGAUUUACAAAUUCUCAACGCAAAUUAUGGCUUACAAAAUUUCAAUUACAUUAAAAUAAAUCAAGAGGAAAACAUGGUGAUAAUAGACCACCCCUCUUGUUACAGAUCCAAACGAAAAAUACAGUAGAACAUCUAACCAUGAAUUAAGACAAACUAUAAACAUGCUUUAUUCAUAUAUUAAACAAAUAAUAUAUAUCUGAAUAAAAUGUGCCACUCUAAUACAUAAAUUUCAAGAAUGAUUUCAUACGAAAUUCUUAUAUAUUAAUAUGAGAGGGCUCUGAUACCAAUUGUUGGGGAAAAAUUAGGUUUUUAAAUUUUUUAUAAAACCUUAUGAAGAUCGCUCUCAUAUAAUACAUAAGAAUUUGUAUUCUAGAAAUCGUACCUUGAAAAUCUGAGUUGGCUUUUUCCGGUGAAGUGAUUUAGGCUCCUAGAUCACGAUCCGCCACCACCACUCCUGUUAGAUCACGAUCCGUCACCACCACGCUUGUUAGAUCACGAACUGUCACCAAUGAUCUUCCAGGUUAUGACUCAGGUUCGAUCUGCACUUGACGUGUGGGCGCCGUUAUCACUACCAAAGCAACUAGCACGAGAAAAUUUUUCUCUCAACAAUGGAGAGAAAAAUCUUUUUCUCUGAUUUGUAUAAAGUGGCUUCUUCUUUUCCUUUUUGGGAAAAUAAGCCUUAUAUAUCUCCCUUUAGUGAAAACCCUAGGCUCCAAGGAUUCCCCAAAAUAAAACUCACGUUACUUUUCAUUUAAUAGGAGACCCACCAUGUAAAAUAACAUAAGGCCCCUUACACAUAAGCUUAUUAAAUGGAGCCUCCCACUAAAUGAUAUAUUUAGGCUUUUGACCCAAAUAGCUAGUUAUCUUGCUUAUUAGUCCAGCAGUGGUGCAAUCAAUUAAAUGAGCUAACCCGGGGAUCAUUUGGGAACAUACAAUAGUGGCUACAAUAAUUAGGCCUGUAAUUAAACUAGCCUAAUUAUUUAAUUCCAAAUCUACUCCACUAAAAGAUUGGAACUGACUUCCAUAAUUGUAUGCUCGAAUAAUAAUUCGUCCCAAGCCACAUUGAUUUCUUUACUGCACAAUCCUUUGUACCACAUCGUUAAUUAAAUUGAUAUCUCAACUGUCCAAUCAAUUUAAUAACAUCUUAUUCCUUGAUCCUUACUGGUUUUCUCUAAUGAUCAUUUUCAACAUACUAAAUAUGUUGACACACUCUGGCCAGAGAAUUCUAUGAUCAAGUACCGAAAACCUAUCAAGAGAUGUGUUGUACAAAUUCUAUAUUGUUAAUCCAUAACUCCAAUACUCAUAAUUGCUCCCACCAAGAUACCGGGUAAUCUUGACCACAAGGAUGUGUCGUGCCCAUUGGUAACUCAAAUAAAAUAACAAUUACAAUCAUGAAAUCAUAAUUAACUCAAGAUUAAGAUUACAGUAAAAUCAACGCCUAUGAGAUUUAAUAAGUCUGACAGUUAUUACAAAGUUAAUUAAAUCUCAUAUGUGAUCCUGUUCAAUGUAGUCGCACUACAUCAAUAAAUUCAUACAUGAUUAAGACAAAUCAUUCAAUGAAUUUAUUACAGUCUAUACCUAAAUAAAGUGUCCAACUUUAUUUAUCAACUGCGAACUAAAUUUAUUUAAUCAUAAGAUAACUUGUAUUUAUGUCUUCUGUGAAUCCACAUGGUGAUCACAUAAAUACAUAUAAUAUGAUUAAAUGGACUUUAAUACAAAUAUUAAUGCAAUUAAGAUAUUUGAAUAAAAUACCUCAUUUAUUUUAUUAAUCAGAAAAAUUGUUUAUUACAAUUAAAUAAACACAUAUGCUUUUAAAGAGCAUAUUUUCCCAACAGCAACGACUAAAAUCUGUAAACCAGACUGUGUUUGCAUGAACAAUAUAAUGAGAUUUUUUGCAUUCUUAAUCAAUUCAACCAACACAACAUGAAAAGUAACAAGUUUAUUAUUAUUUCUUCAAUUAUUGAUAAACUUCCCCCCACUUGAAAAGACUAUGAAAAUAGUCUUAAAUAUAGCAAAGAGGAAAUUAGCCUGGAAGGCAUGGCAAAGUCUUCAUAUUGAAUAGAAACUUAGACUUAAUAGUCUUGAGGAACAAACUGCUAUGUCCUCUGAAAUUAAUGUUGUGGAGGAGGAGAAGGAGCUUAAGCAGUCUAAUGACCGCAUUAAUAACCAAAAGCAAAAGUUUGAUUUCAAAUAGAAUCAAACCAACAGAAUAAAAAAAGAAGUGUACAUGUGACCAAUGUGAAAAGCCUAGCCACUUUAAAAAAGACUGUCAACUUCUUAAGAAAUAAAAGAAGUGUUCGAACACAAAUUUUGUGGACAAAAUUUAUGGCCGUGAUAUCUGAGAUUAAUAUUCUCGAACAUGAUAAUGCAUGGUGAAUAGAUUCCGGUGCAAUCAAGUAUGUGUACAAGAAUCGUAGCUUUUUCAUAUCUUACAAAGCAAUGCAUGAUUGAAGUGUUCUUUAGAUGGGAAAUUCCUCCAGUGCAUCAAUUAGAGGGAAUGUGCAACUAGAGUUCACUUGUGGAAAAACUUUAACUCAUAUUGAUGUUUAUCAUGUAUCUAAAGGUAGGAAAAAUCUUGUAUCUAUAUUAGGGUGGUACCUUAUUUGAGUCAAAGCAAAUUUGCAUUGUUUAAGGGUGGUACCUUUAUUGGGAAAGGAUACAUGUAUUAGGGAAUGCUCAAGCUCAAUAUUAAUAAAAUUAAUGUUUCUUCUGCUUACAUGAUUGACUCAUUAUCUUUGUAGCAUAUUCAUUUAGGACAUGUGAAUAUUAAAAGAUUGCAUGUCAUGGCUAAUUUAGAAUUAAUUUUUAAACAAGGAAACAAUGAUACUGCAUCACUCUCUUUUCAGCCCUCUUUCCUGAAACAAAUUUUAUUGUAUAACAUCAAUACUAUAUGCAUCAAAUAUCUAAUAUAUUGUUUACUACAGGGAUAUUAUAUUGAUUCUUGGCAAGCUUGCAACAUUCAAGAGUAUUCAAGUUUGCUUCCAUCGAUGAACAAUGCAAGCAAACAAAUAAGUGAUUCAUUGUAUCCUGGAGGUGUAUUUGUUUAGCCUAUAUGCAUCACUUAAUUGGUGGGACAAAUAAUAUCUUUAGGAAAGCGACAUUUGUAAUGUGCCUUGAAGUACACAUUAAUUUUCUACAGAUUACCUAUUACUAUUAUUUUAUUAUACUUAUAGAAUUGUAAACACAUUAAUUAAUUAUAAUAAAGUUCCACUUCCACCUUUAUUACUGUAAUUCUCUACAUUUAUCAUUCCCCACAAAUAUAUAUCCCAGCACUUAGUAGAUAUAUUAUUUUAUUAUAAAUAUCAAUAGAUUUUUAAUUGUAUAAUACAUACUUAUGAAAUUGUAUAGAGUAAUUCCGUUCAAUUAUAUUAAUCCGUUAUGAAUUUCAUCACAAAUUUAUUUGUGGCCAAUACCGUGCAAGUGAAAUUUCAGAUAAAAUCAUCUCCUAGCAAUUUAUUUUUUUUAUAGUUUUCAAUUUUGCUUUAACGUAUGGAUCCAUUUCUUGUCUAUAUGGCAGACAACUUUUAUUAUCAGGUAGGCAAAAUCAAAAGCCAUUAUGUCGUUAAUUUUAUUAUGCCAUGACAGACUCCAAGAUCUAAUUUAGAGAGCGACUCAAAUAAUGGUAAUUAGUAAUUCAUUAUAUCUGCAGUUAGCUAGAUACUUUGUUUGUGAAAAAAAAGAAUAAAAUUAGUUUCAUAAUGAUUUUAUUUACAAUAAAUACCAUACUAUGGUCCAUGACUUACCUCAUAUUACAAAGAAAAUAUGUGAAAGAUAAUUAAGGAUUAAAGCUUUCCACAAAGAUUUAUAAAAUUGCUUUUGAGAAAACUGUUCUGAUGAAAUGAAAUUAUAUGAAAUUACUAAGAAUUUAGUUAGCCUCUCAAAAAGGUUUAUUUAUUGCUUGACUUCUCGAGCUUAAAAUUCGAAUGUCAAAAUAGAUAAAAAGUUAAAAAAUUAUUUUAAAUUUAUCCACCCGUUUACCAUUUUAAUAUAUAAAAAAGAAUUACUUACUUUUUAGUAAUUAUGACUAUUUUUAGCAAUAGCAACCGGGGGCAUAAUAUAUCUGAUAGAUUUUUUUUGGGGAACAAAGCUUAUUAUCUCUCUCUCCUAUUGCUUUAAAGUGUCAUCUCUUAUGUUAAACAAGUCUCAGCCAAAGAUUAAAUUGUCAUAUGUUCGUAAGAUAUUCACCACAAAAGUCUAGGGAAAUUUCUUCAUCCUUGAGCGGAAAUACAAAGAAAAACAUAGUUAGCAAUUUUACUAGCAAAACUAAUAUUUUGUUACGUAUGGAGUAAAUCUUCAGGGGGCUCAAGCUCAAACUUAGAAAAACAUAGUUAUUUUGGACGCUUUUUCUAUUUAUAGCUAUUAUGUAGUCAUAAGGAAUUUCGAAAUUUGAGAAGUUUGCUUGUAGCUGCAGGCUGCAGAGAUUUUGAUUUGGCGACUUUGAUUGAUAAUUGAAGUUACUGUUGCAAGAGAAAUGAAAAAAAUAAUUAGCAAAAUAAAAGUCAAAGAGCUAGGCACAAGGCUAUUUGUCAUUUUGUCAUAGUAGAAAAAUAAUUAACAAAAAAAAAAUUCAGUUACUUUGACUUUAUUUCACAAAAUAUAAAAUUAAAUUUCUAUUAUAUGUAUAAAGUUUCUAUAUGAAGUGUUUAGGGGUCAAAUCAGUCUUUUUAUACAUAAUUUUUAAUAUUCACUUAGAAAUCUCAAAAAACUUUCAAAGCUUGUAGGGUCAUGAUCCCCUCUGGGAGUGGACAAAUGUGGGUUUAGAUCAACGCGUUUCUGGUUGAUAGGGUUAGAAUAUUCAAAUUGGAUUAGAUCGGAUAAAAAAUUCAAGUUAAAUUCGGAUCGCAUUGGGUUAUAAUUAUAAGCAAGUUAGGUUGGGUUUGGGUUAAAAUCAUAUUCGGGCUAGUUAUGAUGGAUUCAAAUAAUGUUCGGAUUAGCAUUAUUUUUAAGCCUUUUUUGUUUAUUUUGAAUUUUUUUAAUCAUUUUAGUUCUUGAAGAUUGUUUUAAAGUAAUUAUCUCAUUUCAGUUUUUUUUUUACCAAUUUUCAACAAAAAAUGAAAACUAGUCCUAUGAAAUCAAAUUAAUAAAAAUUAAAAUAAACUACUACUAUCAGAUUGGAUUGGAUCUCCAUCUCUUCCUUCUUCUACAUUUAAGGUAAUUUUGAGCCAUCCAUAGUGUAAUUAGUUCCUCUUUACACAUAUUGUAACCUUUUGAAAAGAUAGCACAAUGUGAGAAAUAUUGUUUUACUAUGGAUGACAAAUCAUUAUAACUUAACGACAAAGGAGCCAAAAGACCUUUCCCAAACUCUUCUACCUUCCACAUUCCACUAUCUAAAAUUAUUUUCUAUUCUUCUAUUGGUCAUUUAUAGUGUAAGAAUUUCCCUAUUAUCUUUGCAACAAAAGGCAAGCCUUUGCACUUACAUGCAAUUUUUUGAUCGAUUGAUCACGAUCCUUGAAGAAUUGACCCAAAAAUGCUACUUGCUUAAACAAUGACCAACAUUCUGUUGGGAAAAUAUGCUCUUUAAAAGCAUAUGUGUUUAUUUAAUUGUAAUAAACAUUUUUUCUGAUUAAUAAAAUAAAUGAGGUAUUUUAUUCAAAUAUCUUAAUUGCAUUAAUAUUUGUAUUAAAGUCCAUUUAAUCAUAUUAUAUGUAUUUAUGUGAUCACUAUGUGGAUUCACAGAAGACAUAAAUACAAGUUAUCUUAUGAUUAAAUAAAUUUAGUUCGCAGUUGAUAAAUAAAGUUGGGCACUUUAUUUAGGUAUAGACUGUAAUAAAUUCAUUGAAUGAUUUGUCUUAAUCAUGUAUGAAUUUAUUGAUGUAGUACGACUACAUUGAACAGGAUCACAUAUGAGAUUUAAUUAACUUUGUAAUAACUGUCAGACUUAUUAAAUCUCAUAGGCGUUGAUUUUACUGUAAUCUUAAUCUUGAGUUAAUUAUGAUUUCAUGAUUGUGAUUGUUAUUUCAUUUGAGUUACCAAUGGGCACGACACAUCCUUGUGGUCAAGAUUACCCGGUAUCUUGGUGGGAGCAAUUAUGAGUAUUGGAGUUAUGGAUUAACAAUAUAGAAUUUGUACAACACAUCUCUUGAUAGGUUUUCGGUACUUGAUCAUAAAAUUCUCUGGCCAGAGUGUAUCAACAUAUUUAGUAUGUUGAAAAUGAUCAUUAGAGAAAACCAGUAAGGAUCAAGGAAUAAGAUGUUAUUAAAUUGAUUGGACAGUUGAGAUAUCAAUUUAAUUAACGAUGUGGUACAAAGGAUUGUGCAGUAAAGAAAUCAAUGUGGCUUGGGACGAAUUAUUAUUCGAGCAUACAAUUAUGGAAGUCAGUUCCAAUCUUUUAGUGGAGUAGAUUUGGAAUUAAAUAAUUGGGCUAGUUUAAUUACAGGCCUAAUUAUUGUAGCCACUAUUGUAUGUUCCCAAAUGAUCCCCGGGUUAGCUCAUUUAAUUGACUGCACCACUACUGGACUAAUAAGUAAGAUAACUAGCUAUUUGGGUCAAAAGCCUAAAUAUAUCAUUUAGUGGGAGGCUCCAUUUAAUUAGCUUUUGUAUAAGGGGCCUUAUGUUAUUUUACAAGGUGGGUCCUCUAUUGAAAAAGAAAAUAACGUGAGUUUUAUUUAGGGUAUUAUUUGGAGCCUAGGGUUUUCACUAAAGGGUGAUAUAAAAGGCUUAUUUUUCCCAAAAGAAAAAAGAUGAAGCCACUUUAUACAAAUUGGAGAAUAAGAUUUUUCUCUCUAUUGUUGAGAGAAAAAUUUUCUCAUGCUAGUUGCUUUGGUAGUGAUAAAGGCGCCCACACGUCAAGUGCAGAUCGAACCUGAGUCAUAACCUGGAAGAUCAUUGGAGACAGUUCGUGAUCUAACAAGCGUGGUGGUGACGGAUCGUGAUCUAACAGGAGUGGUGGUGGCGGAUCGUGAUCUAGGAGCCUAAAUCACUUCAGCGGAAAAAGCAAACUCAGAUUUUCAAGGUACGAUUUCUAGAAUACAAAUUCUUAUAUAUAUUAUAUGAGAGCGAUCUUCAAAAGGUUUUAUAAAAAUUUAAAAACCUAAUUUUUCCCCAACACAUUCUUCUUCAAUUAAUUCCUUAAGAAAUGUAAGAUUUGUUGAUCUCAUCAUGCUUGCUACUUACUGAUUACGUGCAGUAAUCAAAAUUUGACUAUCGUAGAGACCAUUCUUUAAACAAUAGAAGAAUGGUUCCCAUUAAUUGUAAUGUCCAUCCCACACAUCAUUUAAGACAAGAAAAAAGUAUCUUUCCCUCAAUACAUUUAUGAAUAUGGCUUACAAGAGAUAACCUAAUAUUUGAACAUCGUUUUCGGGAUGGUUGCUCCUUUGAUUGUGUGGUCGCACCAUGAUAACAAGUGAACUUGCUCUGAUACCAGCUGAUGAUGCAGAAACACUAAAAAGCUAUUAGAUAAUAUAAACUAGUAUUUGAAUAAUAAGUUUUAUUGAGAAUAAUUUGAAUGAACAAAAUUAGGGUUUUGAAUCCCAUUUAUAGGAGCCUAAAUAUAGCAAAUUUAACAAACUAAGCAAAUUCAAAAUAUUAUAUGAUAAUAAAAUUCUUCAAAUCUAAAUAAGAGAAAGAAAACAGAUGGCACUUAAAUCCAACAUCUAGAAAAAAUGAUAAAAAUCCUAGAAGAAUCAAGAAAAAUAAAAAAAUAUCUUAAAACUGAAAAACGACUAUAAAAGAAGUGAAACUUUUAGCUCAAUCGCAGGGCAUAACAGCCUAGGUCGUUCUGUAUUUGGUUCGACUCAUCGCAAGCUUGGAAACUAUAUUAUAUGUCCAAAACAAAUACUCGUAGCCCAAUUUCUAGCCUCGGAAGACACCAUGCUUAUUCCAUGCAACUAUCUUAUAUCAACUUGCCUUCUCUGCAUCUUCAAGCACAACUUGAAUGUCUUGAAGAUUUAUGGCAAGUCACAAGCAGCAAAGGAGUUCAGCUACUCCGGGAGAGGGGAAGCGAUCACAUCCAUUCUGGCAAAGAAAAGGAGAAAUAAUUUCAUAAGUUGUUCAACGUGCUUUUGUUGCGAAAAUACUUAAAGAAACGAGUUGUUGCAUUCUUCUUACACUACACGAAAAAUGUUUAUGGUUAUUGUCGCCCACCCCACGCGUCAAUAAUUUUAGCAUUUUUAAUUUCCCUGAUUCUACUCCACAGCUGUGAUACAUAAUUGUAAAUAUUCUCUAAUUAAUUUGUAGUGGUCGGGCCAGUGCCAUUUAAAACCAAAAAAAAAAAAAAAACCAAAAGAAAAAAAAGACAAAAGUUGGAAAAAAGCAUGCAUCACCGAUAAUUUAUUUAUUUGUCUGAGGACGGGGAUAUUUUCUACCCACUUCUUUUACAAAUCUACCCACUUCUUUUACAAAUCUACCUUGCUGUCAGAAAAUAAUUGUAAUACGUUCAUACUAUUUUUAAAAUAUAUAAAUCAAUAAAAUGUAUAGACAAUCAAUAAAUUAAAUCAUUCAUAUAAUUUUUUAUUUUUUUAACUUAGGUGUCUUUGACCAUUUAGGUUGCUUUAAGAUAAGUUUUAUUUGACUAAUUUACCAUGAUAAUAUAAAAUGACUAAAAUACCCCAAGAAUCAAGAGUUCUUGUAUAUAAUAGUUUAGGUAUUUUAUUUUUUUGAUUCAAUCUCCAAACUUAUUGUAAUUACAUCUUCUUUAUUUCAAUUUUUAAGAAAUAAUUUGAACUUAUUGUAAUUAUUUCUUGAGAGUGGGGUGGGUUUACAAAAAUUAUGGGCCUUUUCGUUUAUUAAUUCUUGGAAAUUAAUGGCUCCGUAAUCAAUUUCUUUUGUUCUUUUAUUUAAAUAGAAAAGAAAAAUUAAGAGGAGCUUUUGUCUAUUGAAUUGAGGUUCUGUGAAGAAAAAUACGUAUCAAAUGAUCGACGGAUUGUACUUUUCAAUUUUUACUUCACAGUACUUUUCUUUAUUUGCUGGGUCAUUUAUGUUGUUUUGGACGGAUUUAAGUGUUCUUAUACAUUUUAUUGAAUUUUAUUUUGAUAAAAUCACCAACGAUCAGUAGAGAUUUACACUACUUAUCUGAGUAUUUGGUUCUCUAAUGUAAGGAAGCAUGUAAUCUUUCGCCAAUAAUUUUUUAUUUCAUCAAAAUGUUAAAAUGUUGAAAGGAGAAUUAGUUUAUAUAUAUAUAUAUAUAUAUAUAAGAGAAUUAGAGUUCAUAUUGAAGAAACUUCUUUUUCCUACUAUAAGUCCAGUUCGAAUCUUUGAAGCAAAUGAUCUAAUCUCAAGCAUAGAAAGUAGGAAGAUCGAUUGAACAGCGGACACAUUAACAAAAAAUAAUUAAUUUAAAAAGUUAAUAUUGGAUAUCAUAAAAAUUUUAUUAUUAUUAUUGGAAGUUGGUAUGUUGAAAAAUAAACAAGCUUUAUAUGAACUUUAAACACAGAUAAUAAUUUGCAUGUAGUGAAAUUGCUUAAUACAUCCAUUAUUUUAUCAUUUUUAAUUUUAUCUAUCGGUUAUUUUCAUUUUGAAAAUAUAGGAUAAAUAAAAUAAUAACAAACACAUAUUUCAAUUGAAAAUUUAUCAACUUGAAAACACCAUUUUCAUUCUCAUAAUAUAAAUUUAAAAAUAAAAUACAGAACAUGCCCUAACAUUUUCUGAAUUUAUUUUUAUACUGUAAAAGAAUCAAAUUACUCACACAAUUAUUUUAGCUUUUAUGAUAUAAACAAAUAAUCAUCAUUUAAAUUCAAUAGAAAGAGGUAUUCUUGGUAGAAUUGACUUCUUUAGCAAAAUAUAAUCUAUUUGGGACUUCUUACUCCAUUAGGUUAAUUGUCACAUCAUUAAUUUUAGAUUAUAAACUUUAUAUUCGAACUUUGUAAGACCAUCAUUUCUCCAUUUUUAUUUAAAAAAAAAAAAUUAACUUCUUGCAUGAUCUAGUUGGUCUCCUUUCAAAAGAAACCAAAAAUAAAAGGAAAUAAAGCAUAUUAUUUAUCUUAAUUACUUUCAUUUGUUAUUGACAUGUACUCAUGCAUUGUGGUCUUUUGUAUACUUUAUCGAUAUGUUUUGCUUAAGGGAUAAAACUCAUUAUGUGGCAAAAUUUUAUUAGAGCUGGGAUUAUUUAUAUAUGUUCUAGUACUUUGAGCAUCUUACUAUACACUCGUCUAUAAAAUUUUAACAUUAAUUUUUACUACUCAUCGAAAUAUCAAAAUAGUUCUGUAACGUAUGUGAAAAAAAAAAAAAUAAUAAUAAGAGGAAGCUGGGUAAUGUUUUAUGGGCGAGAGGGAUAGAGGAAGCUGUCAACCCGACCCGGAAAACCCGACCCAAAACUGCGAACCCGACCCAGACAGAUCUCCGAUUUUCGGCCACAUCACCGGCCAUGGAUGGUAGCAACGAAAGCUCCUGAGCCAGCCAUCACUUUCCGACCGUCACUGUCGCCAAAAACCAACCGAAACGCCGCCGUUUGAAGCGCGAAUAGUCGCAGCCAAAACCUAUCACGACCGUCGUUGAUUCCGUCGGAAUUAGGCCAUGCCAGACGGAGAAAUGGUCGGCGGUAAACAGAGUUUGUAUCGGAGGUGGGGUAAAUGGAGGAUGAUGGAGAGAGGGCAACCAACGGUCAUGAUGAGGGAGAGGAGGAGGAGGGUGAGGUUAUGGACGGCUGUGAUGGGCUUGAGGAUGUGGGGUCAAUGAGAGGUGAUGAUGGUGGUGCUGUUGAUGUUGAUGUUGAUGCGUCGUGGAGGAUGAAUGUGAGGGAGAGGUAAGUGAGGGUGGAGAGAUAAGUAACUUAUAUAUAUAUAUAUAUAUAUAUAUAUAAGUAAUAUAUUAUUUAUUAAAAAUUAAUUCUUUGAACACUUAAAAUUAUUAAAAUAAAAAUUUAUUCUAUUGUUGUUAAUUCAUAAAAUUUUAAUUCAAUUAUAACAUUUUCAUUUUUUUUUAAGUUAAAUUAUAUCUUUUUUAUUAUUUUUUCCUAAAUUAAACUAAUUUUUCUCUUCUUUUAUUGUCUAAAGUUUUUCGAUAUAGUUUUAUUUCAAAAUAGAUAAAACAAGUACAAAAAAAAGUAGAUGAAUAAAAGAAUAUAUUAAAAAAAUAAGAACAAAUAGCAACACAACUAAUUAAGAGAAUAAUAAAAAGAUAAAAUCAUAAAUUUGAGAUGAAAUCAUAAAUUAACUUAUGUUUAUAUUAAGGCUAUUGUUUGAAAAUUUGAGUAACGACCAAUAGUCAUAGAAAAUAGAGAAAAUUAUUAGAUUUUUUCUUUUUCUUCUAGAGUAGAAAGUAGGGGUGUUCGCGGAUCGGAUUUUACGGAUUGGACAUCAAUCCAUAUCCGAUCCAUGAUUUUGCGGAUUAUAAUUUUUCAAUCAAAUCCAAUCCACGGAUUGAUAAAAUUCAAUCCAAAUCCAAUCCAUACAUCUGCGGAUUGGAUGCGGAUUUGACUCAAUCCAUAUCCAAUCCAUACGUCUGCGGAUCGGAUGUGGAUUUGACUCAAUCCAUAUGCAAUCCACCAUUUUGCGCAUUAGUUUUCAAAUUAAAAUUUUUUAGUUCUCUCCAACUAAUGAAAUAAAAAAAUCUAAUAUAAAAAUAAUUUUGCUACCAAUUAAAUUUAAAAUUGAAUAAAAUUUAAAUAAAUUAAUUGUUUAAAUAAAGCUAAAAUAAUACAUUUAAAGUUUCAAAAUAUAACACAUCAAGAUUAAUUAUUCAAAUAAAGCUACAAUAAUACGUUCAAAAUUUCAAAAUAUAACACACCAAGCUUAAUUGUUCAAAUAAAGUUACAAUAAUACGUUAAUAUAACACCGAAAUUAAUUGUUCAAAUAAAGCCACAAUUAAUUGAAAUGGCAAAGUUUCGGAAACCAAACACAGUCUGAUCAUUCACCAGGAUUGUUGCGCCUGUCAAAAAGUGGUGAUUACGGAGCCAUCCACGAUGGGAACCGUGAGAAGCCGUACGGGUGGCAAUCUUGAAGGUUGUGAUAGUGAAAUUGUUCAGCUAGAACCAGUGAAUGUGAAGUGGCUCGAUGGACUUGGGAAAGAAGAUGGCUUGCUCUCGCCGGAAUCGCGCAGCCAAUGUCUUUUAAAUCCGUGUCGAGAGUGUAUCCAACCAGUAUUGAGUGUUGCUAGUGUGUGUGACGGCGAGGAGCUUAAGGUUUUUUGUUGGCAAAUUAUUGGUGACUUGACGUUAUAUUACUUUGCUUUUGCUAGUGCGUGUGACUUUACUUUUAUUUUGUUUUACAAUUUUUACAAGCUAUAUUUGUAUAUUUGAUUAUUUAAUUAUUUUUCAUUUUAUAUUAUUAUUGGGUAAUGGCUAAGAUAUGUUAUAUUGCUUAGUAACUAUGCAAUGUCACAUUUAUAAUUUUUUUAAUUAAAUUUAUAAUAAUUUUUUAAUUAUAAUAUAUAUAUAUAUAUAUAUUUUUUUUUUUUUUUUUUUUGCGGAUUCACGGAUUUCCGCAGAUUUACAGAAGUAAAUCCAUAUCCAAUCCAUCGACUGCGGAUUUUUAAAUUUUCAAUCCAUAUCCAAUCCACGGAUCGGAUUUAUACGGAUCGGAUUGGAUUCUGAACACCCCUAGUAGAAAGUAGAGGAAGAAAUAUUUUUUUCCCUCUCUCUCUUUCUUUCUCUCAAACACCAAGAUGUCUUGAUUGUUAGAGGAAAAUUUUAAUGGAUAAGUAACAAAAUGUGGGGCUUUUAUAGAGGUUUAAAAUAAAUAUAAAACUUUUGAAAUAUAACUUAUUAAUUCUAACAAUGAAAUAGAGAAUUUUUAGGAUUGAAACUAUUAAUUUAUUGGUUUUGUAGAAAUUAAAACAAUUAAGUACUACAUUAAAUAAACUUUAUAAGAAUUUGAUAGUUUAUUUAGAAAAAGAUAAUUACAAAAUAAUAAUAAAUUAAAUGAAUAAUAAUGACUUUUAAAUUCAUUUUCCUCUUUUAUAUACAAAAUAAUCAUCUCGUAGGGCUUUCAUAUAAAGCGGAGUCCUAUACAACCGCCUAAGUUGCCUAGAGGUCGAACCACUACUAUUUACAAGCCAAUAUUGGAGUGUUGAGGUAACUAAAUAUGAAGCCAUGGCUGGUUUUUUGGGGGAGAAAGAUUUGGAAGAGAUGAUGUUGAGAGGAACGGGGGAGUUCAUAAAGUUUUAGGAUAACGUGGAGGGUAUUUUGGACAUAUUACUGUCUUAGCUUAAAUUUUGGGAAAAAGAUAAUCAAUAAUAAACUAUUUUUUUUAUUUUAGAUUUUAAAUCGUAAAUUUAGUAAAGGAAGUUAAAUCAAGUGAUCACUUGAUUGUUUUCCUAUCAAUAAUAAACUCUUUUUUCAUAUCAAUUUAAAACUCCGAGUGUGUCUCCAAAAAUUGUUUUCCUUUUUUUUAUUUUGGAUUUUAAAUCGUAAAUUUAGUAAAGGAAGUUAAAUCAAGUGAUCACUUUUUUUUUAUGCAAAGCAAUUAAUCUUUUUUGUAAUACCAAACUCCUAUUUCAUCUACCGAAACUACAAAAAUUAAUAUUUUCUAUCAAAUCAAAACCAAAAUUAAAAGAUAACUUAUUAUCUGCCAACUGUCAUUCAACGAAGUCAUCACUCACGCAAAAAAGGAAAAAAGAAAAAAAAAAGUGAUAUAUUGAUUUUAACAUAAUUUCAUACCUCUCUCAAAAAAAAAAAACAUAAUUUCAUACCAACAUAUCAUUCGAGGUUGAUGUGGAAAAGAACUAUUUUUAGUCCAAUUUCAUGUUUGGAUGUUGAGGUUGAUGUGGAAAGGAUGUGGCUCCCACGUAAAACCCAUCGCUUCGUUCUAAACUAAGUGAAUUUAUCUCGUGAGCUAAGUAGUUUAGGAGAUAACUCAAAUAAUUAAUUUUUUAUUAGUUCAUUAAUAAGAAUUUUUUAUUAUAUUUUAAAAAGUAUAAUUCAUUACCAAAAAAAUAUUCUUAAUAAAAAUAACUGUUAUUUAAGAUAUUACAUUUUGACAAUAAUAAAAUAAUUCAAAAUUAAUUAAUUUAAUUUGAUCUCAUACUUUAUUAUUAAAAAACUUAUAAUAUCUUUAUUAAUUUUAUUAAAUUAUUAUUUAAAAGUCAUACAUUUACUGCACACUGUCAACUUUCUGCUAUUUUUUUUGUUCUCACAACAACUAGUAAUAUCAAACAAGAGCUAAGUUAAGUAUGAUCAAUUAAUUAAAGUUUUCAUUUUUUGUAUAAAAUAAUCCUUAGAUAAUUAGUCUAUAAAGAGUAUUGGCUACUUCAAAUGGAAACUUGUGAUCAAAAGUGUAUUACAGAAGUGACAAAGGCACACUAUAUGAGAAAUCUGAAAUAGAAUUUGCAAACUUGAACUGGGUUACAGAGAGUUAAUAAGACUCCAAAGGAACAUGGAAACUAUUAUCUUUAUUAAAUAAUAGUAAUACAAGCUAUUAACUGACUAUUAUCUUUAUUAAUUUCCAUAGCGAAAACAAAAUUAACUUUCCUAACUGACUAGAAUUUAACUCAAGGAAAAUUAGAAUAUACGACGUUGUAUCACAUACGGUAUUUAGACAUCAAGAGAAGAUUCCCUCUAUCAGUGAACUAUACUUGCCAGGAAAUUAACCCCAGGCGAGUACCACCACCUCCUACUAUUUCUUAGGUGUCUCAGAGUUUGAUGAGGACUUCCAUGAUGUGUCUCUUCGACAGGCAGCGAAAUUGGGCAAUUGACUACAUUAACUCCAACAAAUUUAUGCAGUCACCUUCCUCCGGACUAUCCUCUUUCUUCGCGCUUUAGUUGCCCUUAUUUCCCCUUUAAUACAGUCAACAUUAUCUUGUUUGAUGCCAAGGAGACCAAGCCCAGAAACAAUGGCAUUCUUUGAUAUCAACCACCUGGGGACUUUUGAGCUGAGCCAUGACAUCCUGAGAUGGCCUGUUGUGUAAGCCUUCUUCAAAAGGUCAUCCGUUAAUCUUUCUCCUAAUUACACAUUCAAAACCCUGCAUGGAAUCGAUUUGAGAAGUUGGACAAUAGACAAACUCCAACACAUAUAGACAGUAAAGAAGAAUUUAGACCGCAAUCACUGUGGCUCAACAAAUGGGCCUAUUAAGCCUAUUAAAAGUUGGAACCAUAUUCACCGCUCGCAUUUCCUUAGAGAACUAUAUCAGAAUUCUGUAAAUGUAAAACUAUUCUUACAUAUUUAACUGUAAAACAAGAGAAAUUGUACUUCCGUAGCAAAGUCUCGCUAUUGGUAAGUAUUGGACUUGGAAAGGAUGCUAGUUGAUGAAGUAAAGGAAAAUUGAAAUCAGACUUUGAGGUGACAGAUCUAUACACUUCAAUAGGAACCACAUUGACAUCAUAUGAGACAAAUAAACAUUCCCCAGUCAAAGUUUAACAAACAAAACAUUAAAACAAGAGUAAGUUGGUCUAUCAAUGUAUAUAUAGACAUGUCGAUCAAUAGACAAAUACGUAAAAGAGGGAGGGAGAGACCUCAAAGCCGUGCUACUCCAAUAACUUCAAAAUUGUUGGUGACCACUCUAUCAAAUCCACCCAAUAGUUGCAUACACUCACCGAUGGGUUUGUCACAGAUAACCUGUUAGGCAUUAAAAAUUGCCCAAAUUAAACAAAUGUUAGACCAGCUUAGACAGUAAACGGAACAAUAUUCUAAUUUUACUUUAUUUAUAACGAAUAAGUGAACAAAGGAAUAAAAAGGAAUUUUGGCAAAGAAUCCUGCAGCUAAUCCCACCAUACACCGCUCUGCAGGCUUAUUUGGGAAUCAAAAUUCUCAAAAUGUACUAAGAAAUGACAUUUGUUUACUAGUCCCACCAACAAGGAGGAAGUGACGUGAAGAGAAUUUACUAAGAAAUGCCAGUGUAUUAAUAUUGAAGGAAAACAUUCACAGACGACCAAAAUCGCUGAUAUAUACUUAAUUUCUCACUCACUAAGAACGUUCAAUUCAUUCAAAUGAAACUUCCACAGGAAGGUCUCAUUAUUAAGGCUUUAGCUUCACCUCACAUGCUCAACAAUUCAAAUUUGAGGAUGAUAUUUCUCCGAAUGGAGGGCUCUAUUUGGCUUGCCAAUAAUCUUCCUCACAACUAUCAUCCUUGCUAUAUCGGUUGCACUGAGCAAUCUUCAUUCUGAUAUUUGCCCUAUUAAGCUGAGUACACAAGAAUCCGAAACAACUGUUAGAAAUUUUAAUCUUUAUAUAUAGCCAAAAUGGUGAAUAAGAUGAUGUAUUGAUAAUAAAUACCUGAGUUAAUAAAUAAUUAAGGGGCCGGUAACAAUCUCAGCAUUUUAUCAGGUGGGGAAAGCCUUCGCAACGAAGAUGCUGCUUGCUUUCAAGCAAUAAUAACUUUCCAAUUCCAUAAGAUAGCUUAAUGCCCUUUUAAGAAUAUCUCCACCAGCCUAACAAUUAUUCAUGGAAAUCCAAUUUGCAUUUGUCGCCUUCAAUUUGCUCAUCUUUGUCUAGAGUAUUGUUUUUGCAUUAACUUAGCUAGCUUGCAAACCACCUGCAGAUGGUUUUAAAUAAUGUGUGAGAGUGUGAAUUCAAACGAAUUAAUUAAAUAUGAUGACAGGAGAAACAAAAUUAAAAUAACCACAAGAAGUAGAACUAUACUUUUGUGAUAUUCAGAGCAUCUCCUACUGUCUUCAUUUCCCUUAGCUCUGUUUCCCUUUGUGCUCGAACACAAUGCCUCAAGGCUCAAGAUAAUUUGAUGACCAUCAAUCUUUUUGCAGCCACAUGUAGACUUGAAAAACUGUUGGCGGCCCUAAAGAACUUGAAAAUUAGAAAAGAUUCAGAAUGAGUGACUAAAUAUUAUAAUCGAAACUAAUUAAACAAACGCGCCUUGAAAAUCUGAAACUGAAUUACUCAAAUGUAUAUGCCCCUUCACAGCAAUUGCAUGCACGUGGUGGAAAUUUUACUGCGAAGACUUUCUCAAACCUUGAAGAUCACACUCGGCCUGACAACAAAGAAACAAAGUCAAUAUACGAAGAUGAUUUUACUAACAAGUGAGAGCUUACAAAUAUUUGAAGGAUAACGAUCACUCAUAACCCAAAUCCCCAGUAUUCCCUAAUAUUUCACUCAAGUGAGUUCAAGCUCCCAAAUUUCACUACAGUGAAAUGUCAAAACAAAACUCUCUUCUCAAAUUUGAUGAUGAUAUCUCUCGAAGGGAGGCAAAAGAAUCUAACACUGAUCAAAUUGGCUUGUGAACAAUUAAUCUUCCUCGCCAUCAUUCAUACCAGGUGCGGUGAAAAAUCUUCAUUCUGAUAUUUGCCUUAAUAAGCUGCUUAGUAACCUUAACCUGAUAACUCACACAAACAAAAACAACUUGCCUAAAGUUUAAUAUUUCGAGCAGAACAGUAAAGAAGAUGAUAUCUAUUGAUGCUAAAAUUUGACCUGUGUUACCCUGAUGUCAAAAAUCAUAGCAUCUCAUGUGGGCAAAAUCUUCGCAACACGAGAUGCUUGCAAAAUUGGAGCAGCAUCUUAUCACCUGUAAUUUAAUUGAGACAAUAACUUUCCCCAACCAUUUCAAUGCAUUAUUGGCAACUAAAUUCAGAGGGUGCUAAUUAAAUACCCUUUUAACAAUAUCUUCUUAUUCUUCUUCAAUCUAACAAUUAUUUGGAAAAUCUAAAUGACAAUCAUGCAUCGAUGGCAUGAAAAUUUGGCUAAAAAGUAGCCUGGAAAAGGCUGCUCUCUGAAUGAGAGCAUGAAUUCGAACAAAUAUGAUGAAUGAAUAAAUAAAGGCAUAAUACCACAAGAAGUAAAACUUUUACCCAGAUUUCUGUUUCUGUUUGUGCUAAAACCAAUGGAAACCGAUGGAAAUGAAUUUCUACGAAUUAGACAUAUCAGCCAAAACAGGUACUCUGUACAAGCAAAGUAAAAGAGGGUUACAAAAAAUUUUAAUAUUGAUAUGAUAAUUAUAAUUAUAAUGAAAAUUUCAGUUACCAUAUAAUUAAUAGAUAACUCUGUACAUAAUGAUUUAUUGCAUAUUAAGAUUGUAUACCUGAAUUUUAAUUGCUUUACAAAAUAUGGUAGUAGCAUUAGGAGACCGCACCAAACGUACCGAAUUGAAUGUGCCUUUUCACAGCCAUUGUACCAGCUUUGAAGCAUUACCACAAAUGCUUUUUCAAACCCGUGAACAUGAUGCACCCGAGAGAUGAUUAUCUUAGCACCUAAACAUCAUGCAAUAAUAAUCAUCAUGUCUUUCAGGCAGCUAUCCAUCCUCAAUUGAAACAGAGCAGACCCGGCCAUCACUUCCUUCUUCAAAUUCCAGCAACCAAACGUUGCACAAUAACCACAGUGAUAAUCCUUGGUUACCCCAAUGUUCUCCAUAGAGUCUUCAACGUCAACCUAAAAAUGAAAUAAAAAUGCAAUGCAGGUGGAAAUGAAAAUUCUAUAAACUAAAUAAAAUAAAAAAUGCAAUGCUUGAGCUUGAGCUUGCUUUAAUCAUCAUAAUAAUCGAAUUUGGAUAUAUCUUUACUUCUCUGUGGUUCAAUCAUUUACUUCCCUGUUCUUGUUUAUUCACAACAAGAUAUCAAUAGAAGAAGAUGGAAAUGAAAUUCUAUAAAAUAAAGCAAGUGAAUUACCAGCAGAACAUUUUAGCAAUCCUUUGGCUAAACUUUUCAUUUUCAUAGUCUUGCUCUCCUGCCUGCAUCAUCAAAACCAAAUUAGAUUGGACCGGACAUUUCCUCGAAUCUCUGGUGAACAUAAUUAAACUCGUAUGAAAUAAAACAAAGUGGGCUAAUGUACUACUAAAAAAAUUACACAAUUACUUUAAAGAAUUAAUGUCACAUAAAUUAUAUACAAAAAAAUACGAUUAUCAUUAUACAAGAUAAAAUUGAUAAUUUAGUUUUCAACGUUACUGCAAAUGUAUCACAGAGAUUUUGUCUCUCAGGAAGUUACACAUGAUAAAUUUUGGUACAUUAAAAAAUAAAUUACAUUAGGAUUUUCCAUGAUGUUGUAUGAAAUUUUAUAAAAGUCUACUUAUUUUUUAAAAGAAAAUAUAGGAAUUUCAACAGAUUACAGUUUUUUUAAUAAUUUAAUCUUUAGAAAAUUAGUUUAACAGAUUUGAUAACUAAGAAGUUUAAAUUUUAAAUAAUUAAAAUUAAAAUAUUAUCCUAACUAACUUUUAAAUUUAUGAACUAUUGAUUAAAUCUAACCGUACAUAUUUAUACCAUGAUUGGUUUUAUAAUUUUUAUAACAGCAUCAUAGAGUGACCCAUUAAAUUAUUGGCAAAUUAAUGGCUGAAGUAAAUAGAUAAAUUCAAUAUGCAAAUCAAAAUAUUAGAAAUAUAUAAUAUAUUCAUGUCACACAUUGGCAAUAUACAGAAUUUUAAUUCAUAAUAUAAUUAUUUUUAUUAAUUUCAUUGCAAGCAACAACGGAGUAAAUCAGAGGAGGAGAAGAAAUUACCGUUGGGUGAUAUCUCGAUGUGGGGAAUGUGAGAUAUCUUAUGCCAAUCUUCUCCUUUCGCCUCCCUAUAACGGUUUUCCAGAAGAGGACAUUGCUCAAUCCUCAAUUUCUGCAGUGUCGUCAAUUGAAGAAGGUAAUCCGGCAGCACCUUUAAUUUGGGGCAAUACUCAAUUUCCAAGGAAGAAAGACGUGGUAUGUCUGUUGUCCUGUGAUCUUCUAGAAUGGGCAGUUCUUCCAAAUUUUCACAAAAACUAAUACUCAGUUCCUGCAGUGCCGUCGUUUGAAGAAGGUAAUCCGGCAGCGCCUUUAAUUUGUUGAAACCAGAAACUGUUAAAGAAGAAAGACGUGGCAUGAUGGAGAUGUUUUCCUUCCUCGUAAUCCUGUAAUUCCACUCUUCCAAUUCUUCCAUGUCCCAAAUUAUGAGUGAUUUCAAUUUGGGGAAGGCAAUAACUGAUGGUGAUGAUGAAGAUGAAGACGGGCCAUCCUCACUGCUUUCUUCUAUUCCCAAAAACUCAUUACCCACUCUUUUUACACUUUUCAAGUGGAUGAUUACGAGUUUUUCCAGAGGCAAUUUUCCCAAAGGAGGCAAAUGCUCACACUUAACGCACGAGCGAAGAUAUAAAUUCCUUAGAUUGGUCAGUGAAGUCAACCAUUUGGGAAAAAUGUUGCGUCCAUAUAAUAUAAUCCCUAAUUUCUCUAAAUUCACAGGCGGUUGUAAGGCUUCAAGAAGUAGUUUAUCUUUCUCAUUCUUCCUCCUCCCUUCUUCGCCUUCCCCAGCUACGACUCUACCAAACGCAAGAUGCAAACGAAGGAGGUUUUUCUUAUUGUAAAGUUGUGACCUCUCAGCCUCAUCUACAUGCGAUACAUUACCCAGCCCUUCUAUUCCACAUUCACGAAGGAGUUGAAGAUUUUUCAGAGAUUCAAGCCUACACGUGCUGCCGCCAUCAACACCUCCACCCACAACAAACUUUUCUAAUGUUCGAAGACUCGUUAAUUUGGAAAUCCCUAUUGGCAGGUACUUCAACGAACGAGUUUUAUCAUUCAGUAAACUCCUCAUGUUCAUUAACUUCCCAAUCCCCGCUGGCAAUUCUCUAAGAUUCUGGCACCACCUAAUAUCUAGCUUUUGUAAAUUAUAUAAUUCACACAAAGUCUCAGGUAGUCUCUUUAUGCCUAAUUCAGAUAAAUUAAGAUAUUUUAAAUGUAUCAAUUUUUCAACAUUUUCUGGAAUUUUUCUAAUCC